rnacentral:lncRNA from 1 species
GUACGGGUGGUUUUGGCUUCCACCCAUUUAGAGACAUAAUCAACUGCAAGUAAAAUGUAUAGGAAACCAAAAGAUGAGAGAAAAGUACUCAUAAAAUCUAUCCCCCAAACAUAAAAAAUUUCAACAAAUAACAUGGGGGCUUGAAGCAUUUGAUCCUUACGAAAAAUAUUUUUCACCCUUUGACACCUAUCACAGAAUUUGCAAAAUAAGUACGAAUCUUUAAAAAGGGUGGGCUAGUAAAAAUCACUCUCUAACACUUUGCGAGCUAUUCGCUUGAGUCCAAAAUGCCCUCCACAAGCAAACGAAUGACAGAAAUUUAAAAUAGAGUGAAAUUCACCUGUACUUACACACUUUCUUAGCACUUGAUCCGAACAUUGUCUCCAAAGGUAGGGGUCGUCCCAAAUGUAGUAUUUGGCAUCACUCUUCAAUUUAUCUCUCCUAACAUUUGGCCACCCUGCAGGCAAUUGAUUAGUCACUAAAAAAUUUACUAUAUCGGCGUACCAGGGUGUAGACGAAUCAACGGCAAGAAGUUGCUCCUCUGGGAAUGUCUCCCUCAAUGGUUGUUCUUCCUUAUGUGUCAGCAAACGGCUCAAAUGAUUGGCAACCAAAUUCUCUACCCCACUUUUAUCUUUUAUCUCCAAGUUGAACUCUUGCAGGAGUAGGAUCCAUCUGAUAAGUCUCGAUUUUGCAUCCUUCUUUGUCAUCAAAUAUCUCAAGACUGCAUGAUCAGAGAAAAUUGUUACUUUUGCACCUAACAAAUAAGGUCUAAAUUUUUCUAAUGCAAAAACCACAGUUAGUAAUUCUUUCUCUGUUGUAGAAUAGUUGAGUUGACCUCCAUUCAACGCAUUUGAUGCAUAAUAGACUGCAUGAGCCGCCCUGCCAAUUCUUUGCCCCAACACAGCUCCCACUGCGUAGUCACUCGCGUCACACAUAAUUUCAAAUGGGAGGCUCCAGUCUGGAGGUUGAAUGACGGGCGGUGAUGUUAACGACUCCUUCAAUUUGUCAAAUGCCAUCUUGCACUCCUCGGUGAAGUCAAAUGUUACAUCCUUCUACAACAGUUUGAACAGGGGCACUCUAAUUUUGGAGAAAUCUUUGAUGAAUCUCCUGUAGAACCCUGCAUGACCAAAAAAGGAGCGUACUUUUCGUACACUUACGGGGUAAGGUAAAGCAGAAAUAAUAUCGACUUUUGCUUCAUCUAUUUCUAUUCUCCUAGUCGACACUACAUGCCCUAAGACAAUACCAUACUCCACCAUAAAAUGAUAUUUUUUUCAAUUAAGUACCAAAUUUGUUUCUAUGCAUCUUUUUAAAAUCAAAUCUAAGUUAUCAAGGCAUUCAUCAAAACUAUCCCCAUACACACUAAAAUCAUCCAUAAAUACCUCAGUAAUCUUUUCUACAUACUCAUAAAAUAUACUUACCAUAUACCUCUGAAAAGUCGCCGGAGCAUUGCAAAGGUCGAAAGGCAUCCUCCGAUAGGCAAACGCGCCAAAUGGGCAGGUGAAUGUAGUUUUCUCCUGGUCCUUCGGUACUAUCGCGAUCUGGAAAUAAUCCGAAAAAUCAUCAAAAAACAGUAAUAGACACGACCAGCUAACAUUUCUAUCAUCUGAUCAAUAAAUGGGAGAGGAAAGUGGUCCUUCUUUGUCACAGCAUUCAGACUCCGGUAAUCAAUGCACUGACGCCAUCCUGUGGGUUUCCUCACUGGGACUAUCUCGCCCUCCUGGUUCUCUUUUACGGUUACUUCUGCCUUUUUCGGGACUAUUUGGACUGGGCUCACCUACGGACUGUCUGAGAUGGCGAAAAUGAUCCCCACUUCCAAGAGUUUAAAUAUUUCCUUCUUUAUCACUUCCAUCAUUAGUGGGUUCAAUCUCCGUUGCGCAUGUCUUACCUAUUUUCCAUCAUCUUCAAGCUGGAUCUGAUGCAUGCAUAAGGAGGGCUAACUCCCUUGAUAUCUGUUAUGUUCCACCCAAUCGCCUCCUUAUGAUUUCGAAGAAGACGAAUCAGGUUGUCUUCUUGUCUUGGUGACAGAUGUGCAGAUAUGAUGACCGGCAGUGUCUCUUUGUCCCCGAGAAAAGCAUACUUCAAAUGCUUUGGGAGAGGCUUGAGCUCCAAUUCAGGUGCGUGCACAAUAGAAUGCAACAAUUUCGCCAGAAUUUCUGGUACAAAAAGAGAAGUAAGCUCAUAUCUUGGAGAAAUUGGUGGAAGCGAAUGCAGUGCUUCAACUGCACGAUAUAACUCAUCACUUAAUCCUGCAUCAGGAGUUGCUCCCAACUCGAGAUACUUGGCUAAUGCCACUGCCAGUGCAUCGUCCCCAUCCAAUUCAAACGUUUUCUGCACAAGGGGCUCAAUAACACUUAAAACAAAAAUGGAGUUAGCCUCAUCCAGGUACUUCAUUGCAUCAAAAAUAUUAAAAUUUACAAUUUCUCCAUCAAACUCCAUUGAUAAGGUACCCUCAUUUACAUCUAUUUUCGUCCUAGUAGUGCUUAAAAUGGCCUACCUAACAAAAUAGGUGACAGAUGUAGUGCCCUUUCAUCCCCCAUGUCUAGGACAUAGAAAUCUGCAGGAAAAACUAACUCAUUGACCUGUACCAAAAUAUUUUCAACUAACCCUUCUGGAUAAGCAUUGGUACGGUCUGCAAGUUGGAUUAUAAUGCCUGUGCCUUUUAGUGGGCCAAGAUUAAGAGAAGCAUAAAUUGUUUUAGGCAUAACAUUAAUUGAUACCCUCAAAUCCAACAUCGUUUUCCUAAUUGGGGUACCUCCUAUCUUGCAGGGAAUGGUGAAUAUACCUAGGUCUCCACAUUUUGGUAGGAGUUUCCUUUGAAGCAUAGCUGAUACAUUUUCUCCCACCGCCACUCUUUCGUCACCCUUCAACUUCCUCUUGUGGGUGCACAAAUCCUUCAAAAACUUGGCAUACUUAGAUAUCUGCUUGAUUGCAUCCAGUAAGGGAAUGUUAAUCCCCAUUUUUUGGAACACAUCCAAAAGCUCUUUUUUCUUCUCUACUUUCUUUGUCUUCUCUAACCUGCAAGGAAAGGGGGGGUAAGUUAGAUUUAAUAGUGGGUGGAGAAGUGAAGGUUACCUUAUGAUCCUUGCGAAUACGUCAUUCCUCUUCAAUUUUCUUUUCUAUCUCCUUCUCACUUUUGCUUUUUGAAUUUUCCACUUUAGCCCCUUCCAGUUCCUUGCCACUCCUUCAGUGUCAUGACACUUACAUUUUUGGGAUUUAUCUCGGGUUGAGAUGGUAAUUUUUCAUGGACGUGGGACUGCAGGCGAUUGAUGGCAGUUCCCAAUUGGCUUAUUCGAGUAUCCAUAUCUUUCAUGUCUGCUCUGGUGUCCUGCUGGAACUGAGUGGUACUCAUGGUUAAGGCUCUAGUUUCUUGCUGGAGUUGGGCCAUAUUCGUGGUCAAUGACCUGGUCUCCUGCUGGAGCUGAGUAGUAGUCAUGGCCAGACUCUUGACAAUAUCCUCCAGAGAGCUACCUGAAUUGGCGGACGAAGGUUGAGGCUUUUGCUGCCAUGGUUGCUGAAACCCUGGUGGACGAUUUGAAAGUGAAUUUGGUUGCCUGUUCCCAUAACUAAGGUUGGGUGGUCCCUCCAACUCGGAUUGUAUGUAUUGGAGUACGAGUUAUACUGCCUGCGUGGCGCGAGCACGCUUCCUACCAUGUUUACCUGUUUCGCCCCGUUCUCUUGUAAAAAGGGGCACGUGUCCGUGCAGUGGUCCAUACUAGUGCAGAUUUCACACACCUUCACUCGUGGUGUGUUCCCCAUGGCUAAUUGCCUAACAGCGGACGUCAACUCUGACAAUUGUUGCUGAAUGGAUGACGUCUCUAUCUCAUUGACCCUACGAGUGGGGUUAAUCUCACGGUAGUCAAACUACUGAGAGUUCUCUGCCAUGACUUCAAUAAGCUCCCACGCCUCCUUCGAUGCCUUGUUCGUCAAGGUUCCUUCACUCGCAGCAUCAAUGAUACUCCUGUCAGUUGACUGGAGCCCUUCAUAGAAGUACUGGAUCAAUAGUUGCUCACUAAUUUGAUGUUGCAGACAUCUAGUGCAUAACUUGUUAAACCUUUCCCAAUAGUCGUAUAAGGACUCCCCGGAGUACUGCUUGAAGCUGCAUAUUUCCUUUCUCAAACUCGCAACCCGGGAUACGGGGAAGAAUUUUUCUAGAAAUUUCUUUUUCAAUUGUGCCCACGUGGUGAUACUACCAGCAGGGAGAUGGUAUAGCCAAUCCUUCGCUGCAUCCUUGAGAGAAAAGGGGAAAGUUCUAAGUCUUAUUUGCUCCUCAGUGACCCCAAGAGGUUUCAUAUUAGAGCAAACUAUCUCGAACUCCUUGACAUGUUUGUGGGGUUUUUCACCAGAAAGACCAUGGAACGAAUGUAGGAGGUGAAUCAACCCCGACUUCAGCUCGAAAGCGGUAUUCUCAGCCAAAGUGGGGAAUGUGAUGCACAAGGGCUGGUGAGUCAACUCCGGGGCAGCCAACUUCCUUAGUGAUUGGGUGUUGGCCAUGCUAAAUUCGUCUUCUGCUGGCUCGUUUGCAGUAGAUAAGUGCCCUUCUUUUCGUCUCUUGAUCUCUUGCCUUCGCCCACGCGCUGCCUUCUUAACCUCAGGAUCGUAUACCAAUUCACCUGUGCGAGAAGAAUGGGGCAUAAACUAGCAAAAAUAUCAAGAAGAAAAAGAAAAAAAACUGAACUCAAAAAGAAAUAAAUAUUUCAAAUGACAGUCCCCGACAACGGCGCCAAAAAUUGACAGGUGCCGAACCUGUGCAAUAAUAAUAAAUAAAAUCUAAGUACCACCUAAAGCAGUCAAUAAUCAAUUCUAGUACUGAAGCAGGGACUCUAGGUGUGCAAUGGGUUACUUGAUUCACCCUGUUCCUGAAGAGUUUGCUUAAUCCAAUAUACAUGAAUUAAUUAUUUAACUGAACUCACAAACAAAUAGACAGUGGUAAGCAUGGUCGUCUCCUCAGGGACUGGAGAAAAAUUUAUUUCUUACCAAGUCAAGAUUAAUGGGAGGUUUUGAGAUUAAAUGCUAAUUAAACAAAUUAAAUGCAGAAAAUAAUUAAAUAAAAGAAAUAAUUAAGAGAAACUCUAGCCAAGGGUAUACUUCAGAAAUGGUUCGUACACUGAUCAUCGAUUCACAGAUAAUUCCAACAUUUAGUAAUAGAUUAGUUAUAGUUGUCAUGCACGCGAUAAACAACCAACCCUUCCUUAAUUUCUCGAUAGCCAAGGUACGACCGUUAGCUAUUUUUUUAACUCAUAAACAACCCUAGAUACGACCGUAGAAUUAAAUUUUUAGAUUGCAUUAAUAAUUAGAAAGGUCCAAUCCUAACCAACAAACACGCUACGAGAGUUCGUUUAAGUUAGAUCAUAUGCUCCCCUGACAUAAAUCUGAUUACGCCAGUUGCUACUAAGAUAGAGAUAACGAACAAUUACGGAUUCAAUUACCCCUAUUUAGCAAAAAUAGCCUAUAUGGAUAAUUAAUUAUUGCGCACUAAUCAAUCAUACACAAGUUCAUAGCAAUUAAAAGUAAGGAACAUAUAAAUAUCAAUAAAUGAAGAAAAUAAUUAAAAGCAGCUUAUAUCUCACAGUAGUUGUUGAACCAAUUCGUCAAUUGCCCCCUUGAUUAGAAUUAGGGAUUUAGUUCCCCAUAAUUAAUGUACAGGCCAUGCGGACAAGGUUGGAAGAAGCCAUCGAUUCCUUAAUCAAAGCGAACGAAAGAAAUUGCCCCUCGUUAAUUCCGGUCAACCGAAGAAAGAAAGGGGACAAUCGAUUAUGGUGGUUUUCAAUUGUUCUCCUAAGCUAACCGUAUAGAGAGUGCACACUUUCAAUUUUCUUCAGUCAAGGCCAGGGUGAAAAGCAAUGUCAAAAGUCCACAGUUGCAGCUCCUCUUAGCUUUCUUUCUUUCCUCACAAGACAUACGAGAGAUUGGGUUUCAAUCAAUUGAUUUCUCCAAAUCAAUUCACACAAGAUAGAAAAGCCAGAAUACAAAGUCAACAAUUGCGGCCUUCUUGUCUCUUUUUUUCCCCGUUACAAAGCCACGGCCAGCCCCCUUUUUUUAAGAACAAAGGGAACGAAAAAGGAAGAAAACCUAAACCAGACAAGAGGUAAAAAAAUUGUUUUCAGCCAGCCCGCUCUCUGGAGUCUAAUACCUUCCCCUAUCCGACCUUCCAGGAGGGGCUUUUUUUUUUCUCCUCUCGAGAAGUGGUCUUUUACAAAAUUAAAACGAGACUCUCUAAAAUAAAAUAAAAUAAAGUCUAUUACAAUCAAAUUUUCUCAGCUUCUCAAGGGGGCCCCACGUGCGACAAAUCUUCGAAAUUUUGACUUUAAGUACUUUUUAGCAUCAAUUCCUGUAAUUAGUAUCAAAACAAAAUAUCAGUAGAAUCCACCCAAUUAAUGAAAAUAUUUAGUCAGAUAAACAUGCAUUAAUGCCCAAAAUACCCCGCUAAAACGCACCCUAUCAUUAUUGCGGGAAAACUCAGCGUCAACGUUGGUGGACCGACAAGAAACAAUGGGCACACUCGAUGUCAAUUUCGGUGAUUUUUUUUUUGGUUUUAUUGGAAAAAUAAACGUUUAUGUGGUUUUAGCUCAAGUUAUCACUAUGGCUCACGACAUCCCCGAUCAGUUACUGAACAUCUAUAUAUUGUACAUUGUUCAUUGUAAAAUAUGUAAUCGAAAAUAAUUGCCUUGUUUGGCAGACAAGUUUUUCUGCUACAAGUUUUUUAAAAACUUUAAUUAUAGUAACUUCAAAAAAAUUUUCAAAAUUUUUAAAUUAUACACUUCAAAAUAUUCAAAAAAAAACACACUUCCAAAAUUUUUUAAAAAACUUUUACAGUAAAUUAUAGUAAAGUUUUAGACAAACACCUAAAAAACUUAUUUGCCAAACAGGGUCUAAGAGUGGUGCAAAUUAGGAAGGAUUUCCGCAACGAAUGUUGUCUGUAUUCGUUAACAUACCGAUAUUUCACUCAAUCUAUCAUAUAUAUAUAUACACACACCAAUAAUAAUUAUUUUUUCUUACAUUUAUAAAUUUUUUAAAAUUAAUCUCCUUAUAUAUAUUAAUUAAUUUUAUAUUUUUAAAAUUUUAACACUUGAAAUAUAUUUUAAUGCAUGCCCACAAGACACUCGCUAAACAAAUCGAAUUAGAAAAUCACGGCCAAGUGAGUCAGGCAGGCAAAUGAUCUCAUUCGUCUAAGUGUGUUGCUAUUUGAUCACAUAUAGGUCCCAUUUGGCAAGUGAGUUUUUUGGAUGUUUAUCUAAAAUUGUAUUGUAAUUUACUGUAGAAGUUGUAGAAAAAAUUUUUGAAGUGUAUAAACAUAUGGAUAUUUCGAAGUAUAUGGUUUAAAAAAUUUGAGAAGUUUUUUAAAAUUAUUAUAGUUAAAAUUAUUUAAAAACUUGUAGCAGAUAAACUUGAUAAAAAACUUGCUUAAUAUCUUCAUAUAACUGUGAUUUUAGUGCAUAAUCUACGAAAAUUUUCCUUUCCUAUUCUAUCUUUUGUCCCUGCUGACCUCGGGUCCUGACUGCCAUUGUUCAACCUUCACUUUAUUCAAUUAGUACCCUCAAAAUUAACUUCCAAGUUCCAGCAGGUGGAAAAAUUUCUAAGAUGGAAUUUAGGUCCCCCACAUUCAAAGGUUUAUUACUACUACACACCCAUAAAUGUCAUGCAAUAAUUUCACUCUGCUUCUAUAGGCCCACCAAGUUCAUUGAAUUAUUGUACUACUACCCAGCCAGGAAAGUCAUGAUCAAUUUCACUCUAGUUUCUCCUCUAAGUAGUCCCAUCUCCCUUGCUAAAAAUCUUGCACUUGCAAAAUAACUGGCCAAACAGUCCAAUGCAAACUACAUCUGAUUAAUUGUAACUCUCUAACUCAAGCAGUAUGAACUAAUCAACUCUGUACUAAUAUGAAUGGAGAAACUUUUUCUUGUUGCGGUCAAUUUUAAACAGCAUAUAUAACUUUGCAAUUAAGGCUAAAGAUUAGACUGAAAAAAGAAAUAGUGGGCAUACUCAGUGUCUUGUCCAUUAAAUUUUUUUUGGUAAAAUAAAUAUUUAAAUGGUUUUAACGCUAAUAACCACCACAAGUCAAGACACGUCCCAAAAUCAUACAUUUAGGGAUGGCAAUGGGACAGGUUUGAGGUGGAGGAAUCCUCACUCAUCCCCCAUCCCGACUAACCUCGUUACCCUCGCAGGUGCACCUGUCCUGCCCCAAUGCCAUUUUUAGUUUUUAUUUAGUCUUAUUUUUUCUCUUUAUAUAUAUAUAUAUAUAUAUAUAUAAUGCUAGUAAUAAUUUUAUUGAUCAUUCUUUUUAAUUUUUAGCAAAAAAUCCAGCAAUCGCCGUGAAAAGUAUGGAUGUCAGGUUCUUUAAAGAAGCAUCGAUGUCCAUGAUGUUGAAUUAGUGCUUAUUGAGUUAGUUGUUGAAAAGGAACACAGCGAAAUGACUCAUUCUCUGAAAGCUUUCAAUGGUUGAAUGUUAUCCAUCAACUUCUGUUUCAGAACUCAGAACAAUGUGAUUCAAAUUAGAUUAGGCAAGCAUUUGAGGAUGAAAUCCAUAAGUUUGUUAGAGUUUUAGUUAACUGCAUUUAAUUUGAUCCGAGAAAAGGUCAUCCAUGCUAAAAAGUGUACAAAAUGUUGAGCUAAAGAUGUGUCUUCGCAAAUGAUUCAGGACUGGUGGGAAUUUGAAUAUGGCUUUCCCAGCAUGGAUGAUUUUUCCUUUUGUUGAUCUUCAGAACAGUGUUUCCAUAUCCACUUAUUGGGAUACUUAUAACGUUUAGAUAUAAGAAUACCAUUUAUAAUACUGAUAACGAGACAUAAUGGAAGCCCAAUACUCCCCACGAACUACGGGCGCAUGCACGAAUUGAUCUUUUAACUUGUCUGCAUAAUAACUAGUGAACGUAGAUGGGUUAAGUGCGCACAAUUCCGUUAUGUUUUGCAGGUAGUGGCAUUUGAACACAGAAAAUCAACAUAUUUUAGGGUUUGUUUGCUUGGAUGUAAAAUCUUUUCAUGGGAAAAAUAUUUCAUUGAAAAUCAUUUUCGGUUGAACAUUUUUUUUUUUUAUAAUUAUUUUCAGAUCUUUGAUUCCCUUCCUGAAAAUUUUGGCUUCAUAUAUUACGCACUUUUCUCUUCAACUUGUACCGAUCUUCCACUCUAUUUUACCACUGCUUCCCACGUACCCAACUCCCAUUACACAACUAGUAUUUUGACCAGUGCUAAGCACGAAUUUAUAUUUAAUACAAUAAUAAUACUAAUAAUAAUAAAUAAAUUAUUUUUUAUUAAUUACACGAAAAAAAAGUUAAGAAAUCAAAAGAGUGCUACUUUUGUAUCUAAUUUUUAUUGUAUUUAUGUACCUUGUCUAAAACUUUAAAGUAUAUUAAAAAAUAUGAACAAAGAUCACAAAAAUACCUAAAGAAAUACUAAAAGUGCAUCAAACACAACAUUAUUAACCCCCCCCCCCCUCCAUGUGUCUUCCUCUUUGUGCCACUUUCUCUUAACAUUCCACUACUCUUCAUUACCCUCUUUCUUACCUUCUUAAUUCAAACUUCCCACAUUCCUCCAACUUUUUUCCCUCCCACAAACUCUACCUUCCCUUCACCCUACUCUGCUUUUUUCAAAUUGUGCAAUCUCUUACUAAUUUCGUAAUCUAUUUCCUGCCAUCCUAUUGUUCUUUCCACCCAUUUAUAGUUAUAAAUAGUGACCAAUUUUGCAACUUGUUCUUGAACAAAUGAGUUUGGGUAUGCCAUCUACUUAGGUUCAAAUGGAUAACCUAAUGACACCCAUUAAUUAGUGACUAUUAAAUGGAAGGAAUGGCAUCACUUAUUUAGAGCUAAUUAAAUUAGAUGUAGAUUCAAAUUCAAUCGUUAGUAAGUAAAUUUAAAUCACUACCAAUUCAAUAAUUAUACUCUACUUUUUGCAAAGGCAUAUUUAAUGUUCUUUUCCUAUUCUUUAAUUUUCAUUAUUUUAAUUUUUGUUAAAUUUCAUCCUACUUCCUCUCCCUUCCAUCAAAGUUUUAAUGAACUCCUUGAGUGUUAAUUGAUUUUAACAUUCACACCUAAAUUAUUUUUAGAUUCUUAUAGAGUGAUAAAAUUUGAAACUCCUUAUGAUCACCACUAUUGAUUCUUCCAUGUAAUUUGAGAAUUUUGGCAAAGUAAAAAAUGAAAAAGUUCCUGAGCCAUAUUUGAGAAAUUUCAACUUACUAGGUUAAUAAGUGUAAAUGCUGCUCUUACGAGGGAAUCAAGAAUGAUUGAACAAAAACAUUUCAACUUAAGUGUGUUUCGAUAGCUAUUAUUUGGCUUCAAAUUAUUUGUUUGCAUCACAAACAUAAUUUUCAAAAUACCUUUUUAUCUUUCCAAUCAAUUUUUUAUCUCGCAUACAUUACAUCACAAAAAGUGCUAUAGUAAUUAUUCCAAAUAAUAUUUCAAAUAAUCCCCUAUCCAAUAAGAAAAAAAUCAUAUAUUCAAUAAUUUUCAGCGCGAUCAUAUGGUUGUAACUACAAAUAACCUACCAUGAAAAUACCUAUUUUUAGCUUCAUUUCAUCAUGUGAAUUUCUCGUGAUUUCAUUUUAGCAUCCUUAUUUUUUAAUUAAAACAAUCUUGUGAAAAAGCUUCCUGUAUAAGCAAAAACAAAAGAAGAAUACACAAUGGCAAAUUUUAGUUCAUAGUUAGCUUCCAUGUUCGUGAAAAAUUUUCUAGGAUGGAUUCUAAAUUGUGUCCCCCAUGUUCAAAGUUUAUUACUACACAACCAAAAAAGUCAUGCAGUUAUUUCACUCUACUUUCUUAUGCCAUUGCUUGGAAAAAUGUAAUCUAUAGGUCCACCACAUUCAAUAAUUGUACUACUACACUGCUAGGAAACUCACAAGCAAUUUCGCAAGUCUACUUUCUUAUCAAUAGCAGUACCACUACUUUGUCUUCGUUAAUAGACCAUCUCCAUUGCCAAAAAACCUUGCAUACACAAAUGUUCAAUUUCAAACUCUCCAUAAAACAAAUAAAAAAGAAAAAAGUCAUUUACUUUUGGGAAUGGAAAAAAAUUAAAAAUGUUCCUGCAUCAUAUUCGAGAAAUUUCUACCGAUAAAUAGGUGUAAAUGCGGCUCUUAGAGGGAAUCAUAGAAUGAUUGAACAAAAACACAAUGGAAGUUAUUUCACUCCCAAAUAAGGUAUUUCACAUCUUCAACAAUUUUCAAUGGGAUCAUAUGGUUGUAACUACAAAUAGCCUACUAUAAAAAUGAUAUUGAAGAUGGCAUUCAAAAACUUUGACCCCGAUUGUGAUAUUUCGCAGAAAAAUUUUUAUGUUUUUCACGAACACAUUUUUCAAUUAUUUUUUUACCUCGCAUACGUCAAACUGUUACAAUAUACUUUUUUUUUUUUUUUGCAGAAACUCUUAAAAUAGCAAUCCAAACGGGCUAGAUUUUACUACUUGUGCUGACUCAUCUUGACAAUUAUUGGGUCAUAAACAAUUGUAAUCUAGUGCCAAAAUUUCAAUCUUCUCAACCAUUUCAAGAUAGCAAGAAAAUGCCCCGAAUUCUAUAUAUAUUACUUGUAUGAUUUUUGAGUAUGGGUUAAUUUAACAUGUCCUGGAAGUUAUUUUAACAUCUCCAUCUUUAACUUCAUUUCAUCUUGCGGGUUUCUCAUAAUUUUAUUUUAGUGUCUUUAUAUUCAACUUAAAAUAAUCUUGUGAAAAAAAGCUACAGUACAAGCAAAAACAAAAGAAGCAUGGUAAUUAUCAAACCUUCUCUUUUUCAAUUGGUACAUAUAAAGUUAACUUGCAAGUUCCAACCGGUAAGAUGAAAUCUAAUUUAGGUCCCCCAUAUUCAGAAGUUAGGUCAUGCAAUAAUUUGAGCCUGCCUCUAUAGGUCCAGCACGUUGAGUAAUUGUUCUACUAUCCAACCAGGAAAGUCACGGCCAAUUUCACCCCACUUUCUUAUCAAUUACGGUACUGCUCCUACUUUCUCCUCUAUAUGAUACUCCAUCUUCCUAGCUAAAAGCCUUGCACAUACUGCAUUGUUUUAAUUUUGAUUCAAAUUAUCAUCUUCCUCGCCCGUGUUCUCUUUUUCACCAAACUUGGAUUUGACAGGGUAGGUUCACGAUAAACAGGCACUUUUCCCAUAUUCAUCAGAUCAGCUAUUGCCAGAGAUUUUAUUUUCUCUCAAGUAAGUGCUGAGAUUUGUUCACUUUUCUUGAAGUUCAAGGCUUUUUUUUUUUUUUUUUUUUUUAUAAACAUAGCCUCACCAUAUAAGGGAAUAUCUGCAGAUUCAACGGAUCAACCGUUGCCGGAGUGUUCAUUCUCUCCAAAGUGAGUGCUGAAUUUUUUUUUCUUUUUUUUUCAUACACAUUUUUUGGUUGAAAUAUAAAUGGCUUCCAUGUGUUUAUGACAUUCAUUCUACUAGCAUACUUUCAUAUGUUGGCGACUAGCUUCCAAGGCUAGAAUUUUUGCUUCCUGCUAUUCUUGAAACUAACAAGAAGGGUAAAACACUCAAAAUUGUACAGUGCAAAUGUGCAAUAUGCAUCCCAUGUUCAAAACUCUCUAUUACUAGACAACCCUGAAAGGUCAUGCAGUUAUUUUUUCAUUCUACUUUAUUAUGCCAUUGCUUGGAAAAAUUCUAAUCUAUAGGUCCACCACAUUCAAUAAUUGUACUGCUACAAGGCUAGGAAACUCAUGACCAAUUUAACAGAUCUACUUUCUUUUCAACAACAAUACUACUCCUUUCUCCUCAAUAAUAGAUCGUCUCCAUUGCCAAAAAGCCUUGCAUAUACGAACAGUUUCUACAUUUUUUCUUAAACUUUACUUUUGAGUAAUUAAGUAGCCUCACGAUAUACUAGCAAUUUUCCCAAACUCAACAGAUCAGCUACUCCCAGUGGUUUCUUUCUUUCUUUUAUUUUACUCUCAAGUAAGUGCUUAAUUUUUUUUUCCCUCAAACUUAAAGGAAUUUUUAUUUUUCUAUUUUUUUUUUUUGACGUAGCCUCGCCAGUAUAAACGGAAUUUCUGCAAAUCCAACAGAUCAGCUUUUGCCAGAGUGUUCAUUCUCUCCAAAGUAAGUGCUGAAUUUCUUUUCUUUUUAUUAUUAUUAUUAUUAUACACAUUUUUGGUUGAAAUAUAUAUAUCUGGCUUCCAUGUGUUUUUGACAUUUAUUCUUCUGCUACUAUGUACUUUUAUACGUUGCCGAGUAGCUUCCAGGGCUGGGAAUUAGCUUCCUGUUAUUCUUGGUAGUAUAUCAUACUAGUUUGGAUGCACGUGCUUUGCGCAUAACCCGCGUUGUGUGGUAAUUUUCUUAUAUUGCGUGGUUUUUUUUAUUAUUUUUUUAAUGCUAAGCAAAUUUUAGAAUGAAAGCUUUUCCUUUUUUCUCCGUUAUGGGCAUAUAGAUGAAUAAUCUAUCUUUUGGAAGGGAAUGAUUGGAGUAGGAAAUUCUAGGUUGACAUGCUUUCUAAUAAUAUUCAUGGAUAAGUUUUUAUGCAUAACAUUGUUAAACUUGCAUUUUUUUACAUGAAUUUUCUACUGUAGUUUUUAAAGAGUAAUUUGUGUAUGUAAGACAUUUUGUGUCAUUCUCAUACCUUAUCUUAGUGACGGCGCUUUUUGUCUUUCGAGAGUUUUCUUUCUGCAAUUAAUCAUGAAAAUUUGAUAGAGUCAUAAUUCAUGACAUUUUCUUAGAUCAGAAACUUGAAAUGAGAAACCAAAAAAGAAAAAUUAACAGUCCUUGAAAAGAAAAUGAGAAGUGAAAUAGGGACACUAACUAUCCUAAAGUUUAGGAUAAUGAUACAAUGAUAAUGUUAGAAUACUUCAGCUAUACUAUCUUUUUCGUAUCGAUUGACCCACUAAACUUUUAAAGCUAAUUAAUUGAACCAUUCCGUGUAGUUAGUGGUUAAAAAAAAUGAAACUUUCAGAAUUAGUGGGGAACUUUUGUCACUUUGUUAAUGAAAAAUAGUAUGGCGGAUUAAAUGGGAGUUUAGUAAAAUUAAGUGAAUCUUGAUACAAUUUGUUGGAAAACUUUUUGGAAACUAAAGAAGAAUGGAAAAAAAGGAAUGUCUUAGAAAAUGUUUAACACAACUAAUUCUCACAUUUUCAAAUCUUUUGAGCUAGUAUUAGAAAUACUUUAGUUAGGUGACCAUAAGAUCUGACAUUCGACUAUCAAAUUCUUAAUUUUUUUCUUUCCCAUUGUAAGGCUGAAGUCUCCCAUUCAAAGGGAAAAAAACAGUACUCGUAACUUUUAAGCUUUCUUUAGUUGACAUGAUGUAUCGUUAUAAAAUAGUAACCCAAAAUUUCAGUAGCUAAAAAUAGCCAUGCAAUCACACACACAAGGCAUGUAAAAAAUCUUCAGUUCUUCGUUUAUUUAUUUACUUUUGCAAGAUGGCGCAGUAGCUAUUCCUUCAUGCGGUUGAAGUGCCUACAAUCAAUUGGAAGUUGCUGAAAAGUGAUAAAAUCUUCCUAAUAUAAUUUCCAUGAUUUUGCAUUUUAGCUUCAGUCGUAGACUAGGCAUCUUCUUUCAAAAUCAAGUCAUCGUUUGGCUUUUUCUUUUUAAGAUUCCAUCUUUUGCUUUGGUUUGCUCUCUCUUUUUUAAAGAUUAUGACCCCAAAGAGGAACGGGUCAUCAAAAAGGAACCAAAGUGAAGUAGGACCUUGCUAGGAAGUCAUGGUUUUGCUCUGUUGAUAAAAAAUUUGCUAUUUUAUAAAAGGAUCAUAAUUGUAUAAUUACCCUUGUAAAUUUGAAAAUCAAAGACACAAUAAUGUAAAGUCAAAUUUUUACUAUCUCCCUUCUCUGCACGCUUUUCAACCACAAACUAUUAGGACCAGGAUUCAUAAUGUUUCUGUCUUACCUUGAAACAUUCAAAAUUUUAAAAAUCUGCAUGAACAUCUAUCACAACUAAAAGAGGAUGGUACUGGUUAGUCAAAAAAGUAAAAAUCAAAUCGCAAGUAACUUAUCAGUUAUGACUAUACCUGGCAAUUGGGCGGGUUGGACGGAUUUUGGACGAGUUGAUAUUGGGUUUUUACUUAAAUGGAUUAUACCCAACCCGCCCAACUUUAAAUCGGGUUAGUUUUGGGUUGGGUCAUAUUGGGUCAUCUCAAACCCAAGACCCAAAUAUGACCCAAUAUAUUAAUUAAUAGAUUUUGAUACAUAAAUUCUCUCAAAUAUAUUUUUGCAUACAAAAAUUUUUUUUCACACACUAAAACAAUUUUGGUCCAAGUUGAAUAUAGCAUGAAAAAAUGUUAUACCAAUAUUAAACAAGAUCCAAUCAUGCCUUAAUUAAAUUGAAACUUGAUAAGAGAGAUACAAUUCUCAACCAAUUAGUUCAAAUAUCACUAUCCAAUUCAUUUGAGAUUUGUGAAUUGUGACUUUUGGGUUCCUUUUAUUCAUUAUUAAAUAACCUCACUUUGCACUUUUUACACAAUUAUUGUGGUUGAAUAUCAAUCUUGUCUUGUGAUAAACCUUCAUGUCAAGGGCCAAAAAAGGGGAAAAAAAAGACGAAGAAGAAAGAAAAUUGGACCCAUGAAUGAUCUAAUUGACAAAUUUUAAUUAAUAAUUGAGCAACUUAUGAAAGCAAUUAAAAAUUUGCUUGCAUAUUUUGCUAGAUUUUUUAGGAACUAGUAAAUGCUUAAAAACACGAGUUGCUAAUAGAAUCUCUCCGUCCAAAAGAUAACAAUGGAAAAAAAUAUGUAUAUGUACAUUAACAUGCAGUUGAACAGUAAUCUUCACAAUCCUAAAACCAAUUAGUAAAGGAACAAGAUGUGUAUGGACUUGCAAGUUUGCUAUCUUAAAGGGAAAAAAAAAAAAAAAAAAAAACAGCAAGCGCGAUGCAGUUGACAAGAAUGUGCCAAAAUGCUUAAAGUUAAGAAAACGGUGGUGGAUUGAAAAUUCCCGACGAGAGGCCUCCAUUGUUUUUUUAAGUUGGGUAAUGGGUACCCAACUUAAUUACCCAAACCGCCCAAAAUACAUGUGAGUUUUUAUUAUCCAACCUAAAAUUAACCCAACAUCCAAUUUACCCAACCCAGCCUCUUAAAUUAGUGGGUGGAUUGGGUGGAUUGUUGGAUUUUGGGUAUAAUUGCCACCUCUAGUUAUGACAUCCAAUUCUUUAGUUGGCCUGAUUUGAAAUUGUAAAUCAUCGUGGCACAUUAACAAAAAAUUACACAAAUUACAGUAGUUAAAACACACACACAAAAAGGCAUAUACUACACUUUUUCGUCCAUCAUUUAUUUACUUUUGCAAGAGGGUGCAAAAGUAAAUCAUACGAAAGGUCCUGAAGGGUGAAGACCCCACGGACAGCAAAGUCUUUCUAAUAGCUUCCACGAAUUUGCAUUUUAGCUUCAUUUGCAGACAGGGCACCUUCGUCUUUCAAAAUCAAGUCGUUGUCUGGCUUCUUCUUUUUAAUUUCCAUCAUUUUGCUUUAGGGUGUUCUUUCUUUCUUGACAAUUAAUACUUCAUUUCCCUACAGUUUCUUUCUUCUGAGGAACCACUAUCGUGGAUCAUAGGUGAAAGAAGCAACACAAUAUCACUAUAAGUAAAAGAGUACAAGAGAGAGAGAGCACAAAACCCUACAAAAUAAUUCCAAGGUCCAAAUGUAUCUAAAACUAAAAACACUUGAGAUCUUUUUUUUUUUUUUUUUUUUUUGGAAGCAUAACACUCGAGAUUUUAAAGAAGCACACAAAUGUCUUAUAAAAUCAAAAUUCCUAAAGUUUAGGAUAAUGUUAGAAUACUUCAGAAUUUUGCUAUACCCUCUUUUUCGUAUGGAUUGACCCACUAAAAUUUUAAAGCUAUUUAAUUGAACCAUUCCGUCUAGUUAGUGGUUAAAAAGCUGGGAACUUAUAAAACACAGCAGCAGAUUGCAAUUAGUGGGGAACUUUUGUAGCUUCGUUAAUGAAAAAUAGUAUGGCAGACUAAAUAGGACUUUAGGAAAAUUAAGUGAAUUUGAUGCUAUUUGUUGGCAAACUUCUUGGAAACCGAAGAAGAAUGGAAAAGAGAAAUAUCUUAAAAAAAGUUAAACACAACUAAUGCUCACAUUCUUAAAUUUUUUGGGGUAGUAUUAAAAAUACUUUAGUAGGUGACCAUGAGAUUUUUCCUACUAACUUUAAUCACAUGCCAAAUAAAAUGUUGCUUUUUAAAGAACAUACCAUUGCAGGUGAAAAGUACUGCCACAAACUCGAUUUGUCAAGUGACAAGAUCAUUACUUCAGAAAAGGGUAUGCUGAUUUUUGCCUCUAUCUUCCGCACUUUUCAGAAAGAAAAAAAAAAGGAGCAUAAUCAUUUAUAUGAGUUAAUAGUGACAGAAAAAAAAAAGAGUAUGUCCCUUUAAAGGAUAAACCAAAAAAAGGGUAUAAUCACUUAUUUGUGCUUUAUGAUUAUCCUAUUUGAACUACUCCUCUAUUUUCUUUUUCUUUUUUUACACUUUUCCUAUUUUUUCUUUUGACAAUGCCGUUCUUGAUAAUCCCUAAAAUACUAUCCUCUUCCAGUUUGUCUUAUUUUUCUCACAGUAUUUUUUUCUAGUUUCUGGUUGCUUUUAAGACAUAAAGAUAUAUGGAUUAGAAUUUUAUUAAUGUCCUUGAAAUCACAAAUGCACUCAAAAAUUUGUGGAACUUAUCAUCUUAUAAAUAUUGGUAAGACUAAAAACUGCUUAGACUCUAUACACUAAACAAAAAUUUAGUAUUUUUCUUUAUUUGAGCUAUUUAAUUAUUCUCAUUUUUAUAACAACUCCUGUACUCUAGAUUCUAAAAGAAACAAAAUUUUUCCAAUCUCUGUGAAUUCGAUCCUACUAACCACUAUAUAUAAAAUCUGUAUUUUUAUUAGAAUAAAUUUUUAUUAUUACAUAGGCCCGACACUUGUCAACUAUCCCCUUCCAGUUUGUCUUAUUUUUCUCACAGUAUUUUUUUCUAGUUUCUGGUUGCUUUUAAGACAUAAAGAUAUAUGGAUUAGAAUUUUAUUAAGGUCCUUGAAAUCACAAAUGCACUCAAAAAAUUUGUGGAACUUAUCAUCUUAUAAAUAUUGGUACUACUAAAAACUGCUUAGACUCUAUAUAUUUAGAAAAUAAUGGCCAACAAUAUUAAAUUAUUAAAGUGUACCCCUAAAAAAGUAAAAAAAAAUGACAAGAAAUCUUUCUCACACGACUUUGACAAUUCUUUUUGUAGGAAUGAUAUCAAGAUGACAAACACUUACCGAAAAGAAUAUGGUUUUAGUUGUCAUGGGAUUCAAGUAACUUGAGUAAUUGACUCUCAAAGUUAUGACUAGCAACAAAUUUCACCGGUAAAUUUUAAAUAUUUAACUAAGGUAACUGUUUUGAUAUAGGAAUUUGAAAAAAAAAAAAAGGUAAUAACUCAAUCAAUUGAACUACUGCUUUUUAGCCUAUCACUCCAAAAUAUAUUCAGGAAAAGCCAAUAAAAGAAUUCCUUUUAUUUUUUUGGGAUAAUUUCAGAAACCUCCCCUGAGGUUUCUGACAAUUUCACUGACCUCCCCUGAGGUUUCCACAAUUACACUAACCUCCCUUGAGGUUUCUGAUUUUGUAACAAAAUCAGCCCAUGACCACAAAAGUAAACAUAAAAAAGUGUUUUCAGGAAAGAGAGGAAAUUUUGUUCCCAUAAAUGCCCUUAAGGUAGGUGUACAAGUUAUAUUAGUGAAUUAAUGAAAACUAAUAAAAAUCAGAAAUAAAUAAGAAAAAGUGAGGGGAUGGGUAUGGGAAUCAUAAAAUUUUACUUAUGGAUAUAAACAAUUGGGUAACGCAACCGACCCAAUUAACCCAUCUACCACCACUCAGGUCAUUUCACAAAUACAUUCAUCAGACAAAGCUUUCCUCUUGUCACAAAAAUUCAAAGCAAUGUGGUACAUGUUCACAAGCAAGCAGGUUAAAAUCCCGCCUGCAUAAUAACGUUGAAACCCUGCAAGCGGGAUUCUGUGUUUUUUCUAUUUCAAGGUUAGCUCGCAUGCGGGUUAAUGUUAUAUUUGAGCGCGAGAAGAAAAAAUUGGUAAUUAGGCUCUUUGGGCAUUAUAAGUAAAUAUUUAAAUUAAUGGCAGUUUUAUUACACCAAUAUUAUUGUAUUAUCAUUAUUAUGAUUAUUGUAUUAUUUCUUAUGCAAAUAUAACAUUUAAUUAUUUAAAUUUGAUUUUAUUUUUACAAUUUAUAAAAUUUUUAUCACUUAUAUAAUAUUUUUAAAACCCUAAUACAUCUAAAUUUGAUUUUAUUUUUCAAAUUUAUAAGAUUUUUAUUUAAAAAAAUGGGAUACGGAUAAGAUAUCCGGUUGGUUCGAUUUGCAUAGGUGCAUAUGAGAAUAUCCGAAUACUCUUUAAACCCGCAUGCGGGUUUAAGGAGAUUAUGGCAACUCUCUGACACACUAGUUACCCGUCCAACUUGUGUGUAUUAAAAUAUAUUUAAAUAUUAUAUUUCAUAUUUUUGUUAUUUAGAGUUUAACAAAACAUUAAUAUUGGGUAGAUUUGAGGGAUAUGCAUAAUUUUGCAUAUUUGUAGGAAUAUUAGAAAAUGGAAAAUUUGGGUAAAUUCCCAAAUUUUGGAGGUAAGGUGUAAUCCAAGAACUAAAACAGUCAUUUAUAAAACCUUAACAGUAAUAAGGUGCAAACCAAAACUGCAAUCCAAGAGUAAUAUCAUUACAAAUUUCAUAACCAUACAUUAAAUAAAUAGAAAUGCAAUCCAAUACUAUCCAAAACACCAUCUGCCUUAUCAUAUUUUAGUCCUAUAAUAACACAAAAUGUCUUGGGUAUAAUAGUAAUUUUGCAUUAUAUGAUGUCAGCAAUUGGGUCCCAAGUUCUGCCAGGGGAGGUCAGUGUAAUUGUGGAAACCUCAGGGGAGGUCAGUGAAAUUGUCAGAAACCUCCCCUGAGGUUUCUGAAAUUAUCCCUAUUUUUUUUUUAGUUGGGAUUGCAUGGAUAGAAUAUUACUUAGAAAAACUUUUGUAUAAUUCACUGUAGCAUGUUUUGUAGUAUAAUGUAUUUAAGAUAAAUAAGUAAUUGUAAAACAUGUUUAAGAGCAAUUAAAAAAAUAAAUAUUCUUUUAGAGUCAUCACAAUGAUACGUAACACAUCUGUCCCACAAAUUAGACAUCAUUGCAUAAGUAAAUCAGUAAAGGACAGAUUCACAUGUGAAUAUUGUCCGGAAGUCUGUAAGUUCAGCCCCACACCUUUUAUAUUAACAGAUCUGAACGCGGUUUGAUUUGUUGACCAAUAGUACUGAAUCGCACAUUAUUAAAGUUCAUCAUAUUACGAACCGAUGACCAACUCUAAUUUCUUCCUUUUCUGUACAAGCCACAAGGUCAAGGAGCCUCUGUUCCUUUCCUGAUAUUCUCAAGUUAAAGAAAAGGACUGAAAAUGGCAGAAACAGUUCUCUCUUUUGUGUUAGAUCAGCUCUCAAUUUUUCUGCGUGAAGAGGGCAGAUUAUUGGGAGGGCUUCGCCAAGAGGUUCAACUCAUCAGCGAUGAGUUGGGGCACAUGAGAGCUUUCGUGGGAGUGGCAGAAACAAUAGAAGAAGGUGCUGAUCCCAGGCUCCAAGAAUGGAUCAAGCAAGUACGAGAAGCCGCUUAUGACACCGAAGAUGUUCUUGAUGAAUUCGUAGCUUGCUUUGCUCACCAUCAUGCAACAGGGUUCUAUGGCUCUGUUAGGAAAAUUUUCAACUCCAUAAAGACUUUGCGAGCUCGUCGUAAGGUUGCUGUGCAAAUACAAAGCAUCAAGGCCAGAGUAAAGAAUAUAUCUGAAGGGCAUCAGAGAUACCAAUCAGAAUUCGGCGGUACUACCCAAGCGGCCGAGUCUCUCGCUGCUGUUAACAACACAACAUGGCGCUAUAGCAGGGAUGAUGCACUUCUCGUGGAAGAAGCUGAACUAGUUGGCAUUGACCACCCCAAACAACAGCUAAUUUCUCAACUACUCGAGAGGGAUGAUUCCCAGCUCAAAGUUGUUUCUGUGGUUGGCAUGGGAGGACUCGGUAAAACUACCUUAGUCAAAAAAGUCCACGAAGAUUAGCUAUUAGAAGGCAUUUCCCAGUUCGUGCCUUUGUAACUGUCUCUCAACCAUGCAACUUCCUGGAGCUCCUGAAAGACUUGACUCGGCAGUUACACAAUGAAUUGAAGAAACCAGUUCCAGAAUCGAUUGAGGCAAUGACUGCAAUUCAGCUGAAACAAUGUGUUAAAGAUUUUCUUCAACAACCUGUAAGGUAUGCAAUUGUGUUUGAUGAUGUAUGGGAUGUAGAAUUCUGGAAUGCAAUUAGAUUUGCACUGCCCGAAAAUGGCUAUGGCAAUCGCGUCAUGCUAACAACACGAAAAACCGAUGUAGCCUCUGCAUCUUGCAACAAAUCUCAAGAUUAUGUCUUCAAAAUGGCGCCCCUGUCUUUCGAGGAUUCAUGGACCCUAUUUUGCAGCAAGAUCUUCAAGGAAAAUGGUUGUCCUGCCCAUCUAAUAGAUGUUGCAAAAGGUAUACUGGGGAAAUGUGAGGGAUUGCCCCUUGCGGUUCUUGCAAUCAGUGGGCUUUUGGCUUUGAAAGACUUGAAUAUUGCAGAGGAAUGGGAGAUGGUUCGACGCAGCCUUGGGGGUGAAUUAGAAGGCUGUGGUAUGCUGGACAGGGUAAAAAAGAUACUUUCUCUCAGUUACAAUGAUCUGCCCUGCCAUCUUAAGUCCUGUUUGUUGUAUUUAAGCAUUUAUCCAGAGGAUUUUGAAAUACGUUGUGGUAGACUUGUUCGAUUAUGGUCAGCUGAAAGAUUUGUAGGUAAGAAAGAAGGAAUGACUGUGGAAGAUGUAGGCUACAAUUACCUCAGAGAACUGGUCAAUAGGAGCCUAAUUCAAGUGACCCAAAUUUUUUAUGAAGGAAUCCCCUACGCUUGUCGAAUCCAUGAUCUAGUGCGAGAAAUUGUUCUUUCCAAGGCAAGGGAACAAAAUAUGAUCGCAAUUACUACUGGACAAUACACAAAGUGGUUGUAUGAGAAGGUACGCCGUUUGGUAGUCCAUAGUAGCAGCAACAACACCGAGCAGCACCAAGAAAGCCAAUGUUAUAGCUUUAACCACCUUCGAUCCUUUAUUACGAUUGAAUCCAUGAAUCCACCGAUAUCCAGAGCCUUGUUAUGUAAAGCUUUAAAGAGUAGCAGACUGUUAAAGGUUUUGGAUCUGAGUGAUGAAAAGACAUUGGAGGAAAUCCCAAAUGAGAUUUUCAACUUGUAUCAUCUCAGGCAUCUGAACCUAUAUAGGACAGGGGUUAAAGCAGUCCCGAAAUUCAUAGGAAAGCUUCGAAAUUUGGAGUAUUUGGAUUUGUGUGAAACUGAAGUCAAGGAAUUACCCGUGGAAAUCCUGAAGCUACAAAAUCUUGAGCAUCUUAUGGUAUACCAAAAAGUUGAUUCUUCUGAUGACAGUCAAGGAUAUCAUGGGUUUAAAGCUCCACCAAAAUUGGGAGGACUUCUUGCCCUACAAUCAUUAACAACCAUAGAUGCGAGUAACGGAUCCGUAAUAGUUAAAGAGAUAGGAGCAUUGACUCAAUUAAGACGAUUAGGGAUUUCAAAUCUGAGAAGAGAAGAUGGAAAGGUGCUCUGCUCCUCCCUCGCCACCCUCACUAGUCUUCGGCAACUAAACAUUAGUUUAAUUAGAAAUGAUGGGGGUGAUUAUGAGGUAAUGGAUCUGAAUCAUCAUGAUCAACAACAACAUUCUCUUUCAUCUUCAAUGCCUUCUUCAUUUCUCCAAUCUCUUCGUAUGCUAAUAUUGCAUGGCCGCUUAGAAAAGAUGCCGAAAUGGAUAGCUCAUCUUCAAAGCUUGGUAAGAAUAGAUUUGGAUUGGAGUGGCUUAAGGGAUGAAGAGGAUCUGCUUGAACCCCUCCGCCAUUUGCCAAAUUUGGUUAUUAUUCAAUUUUGUGGAUCUUACCAAGGAGAGGGGUUGUGUUUCAAGGCUGGAGGAUUCCUGAAGUUAAAGAAAUUGUACCUAGAGAAAUUAGAGAAGUUGAAAUGGCUGAAAGUGGAGGAGGGUGCAUUACCCAAUCUCCGCAAACUUUGUCUGGAUACACUUCCAUUGCUAGAGGAGUUACCUUUGGGAAUUCAGCACUCAAGGAAUCUUCGAAAGCUGUAUUUGUCUGGGUUGAGUUCUCAACUGAUGGAGAAGCUAGAGAAUCUAAAUGAAGAGACUGAAGAUUAUAGAAAAAUUGCACACGUUUCUGAAGUUGUCAUUGGAUUGUGGACAGAUGAGGGAUGGAGACUGCACCGGCUGUGGGGGAAGAAUAUGUAAGGCCUUGUUUGGAUUGCGGUUUUUCGUCAGAAAAUUAUGUCGUUCUCGUUUUCCGUGAUCACAUUUCCCUAUGAUCUUUUUCCCUCACAUACAUCAAAUCGUUACAGUAAUUUUUCCAUGAAAAAUCAUGGAAAAUGCAAUCCAAACACAACCUAAAUAUUUCCUUCCUAUUUCUUUUCUUCUUUUUUUUUUGUACGUUUGUUUGUAACUUCUGAGUUUAUAAUUUGCUUUAUCUUUUAUCUAAUUGUAUAAAUAUUGUGUUGCAUAAUCUUGUUUAUUUUUUUCUUUAAUUGAUUUAGCCAAUAAUUUAGAGGUGCCUUAGCAUCUUGCACACAAUUUCAAUAUACAAUCUAAAACAAUAGCCUAAAAUUUUGGUACAAAAUUAAAACAUGAAGCCUAUGUUUAUACGCUGGUAUGACUUAGAGAUUGAUUUCUCUAGUAGUUAAUAAUAUAGUAAUUUUUGGACAAAUAAUGGUUGUAUCAGUCCUUUAUGCUCAUCCAUCUGUCCUUUUGGACAAAUUAAUAUUCUCAAGUAAAUUAUUUUCAAUCAUGCCCACUUAUUACAGUCAUGAAAACAAUUUCUUUUUUCCAUGAAUUGAUAAUCGAAUGUUCGCACUAUAAUGCCCAAUCCACCAAGGUUCAUUUUUAAACUAAAAAUAUUGAAGUUGCUAAAAUUGAGAACUUCUACAUCACACAGAAGUAUUUGUUGAUGAAUGCAGUCAUACUCAUAGUCAAUAUUUGUAAGGCAACACAGAAGUAUAAAAAAGCAAAUAAUAGUGCUUUGUUUGGAAAGCAAUUUUUCUCCCAAGAAAGUGUCUGAGAUUUGUAUUUUACAAGUCAUGUAACUUGUAAUGAUGCCUACAACUGUCAAAAUUACGUAUUUAUAUCAUAGGAUAUGCUUGCAUCCUAUGCAUCAUAGGAUGCUUUUCCCUGCAAAUUCCUGAGAAAAAUUCUAUGCAAACAACUCAAAGGGAAGAAGGUCAACCCAAUACCGGGAAGGAUUCACAUGAUUCAGAUAUUGCCGUAUCAUGGGUCUGAUUCAUGUGUCCCUAUCCUUCAAGUUGACUAAACCAGUCUGUAAUUGUUCUUGUGAGGACUCUAGUGUCGUUCAAAGAAAUUGUCUUAAGACCUUGAGCAACAGCAUCUACAGGCGAGUAUAUAUCUCCCACUUGCCAUCUAGGUUCCUGAUUGUCCAACAAAACAAAUUUCAGCAUAAAUGGAGAAUAAAAAGAAGAAAUUUAGUUAGAGAACAAUCGUUGACCAUGUCAUUUUCUGAAUCCUGAUUGUUCUGAUUACCGUGCCACUUUCCAAUUUUUUAUCAAAAGUGACUUAAAGAUCAUGCUAAGUAAUACAUACACAAUUGGCACAAGAUACAAGGCGCAGCACAACAUGUCAGCAUAAAUUCCCAGAAAGCAAAGGACUAAAGAUUAUGAUACAAAAGGAGUACAAAGUUACUGCAGCAUACCUGUAUGCAAGGUGUAAUAUGAGUUCCAUUCAAUAUUAUUUUCUGUAGUUUUGCACCAAUAGAUUCCACUCGAGGCUUCAGUGUCUCUUCAAGGAGAUCAGUCUGAUCAAUUGCAUCAACAUUGAACUUGACCUGAAAAAAGAAUCAGAUAGACUUAAAAGUGAACAUUGAAGUUGGAGCAAUUCAAUCAAUUCUGGUACUUGAAUAACAUGUUCAAACCAGUAAUGUAUGCUGAACAUUGUAUGACUUCUGGAAACAGUCAAGAUUCUCAGAGGGUGUUGGCCUGAACUCCGAAAUUCCUUCAGCAAGCUGAAGUAACAUCCAUUUGAGGCAGUUUGAGGAUUAGAGAAUGACCAGAAGACAGAAAGAGCGACAAUGCCAUUUCACCAUUUGACAGAAAAAUGAUGGAGAUAUAGACAUGUUCAGCCACAAAGGUGGCAGGAUUUGUUUUCCAGGUUGGAUAGACAUCAUCAUGUAAGUGGGGUGUCACCUGAUUAAAAACAGCCGGCAAGUGAUCAACAAACUUGUUGACUGACACUGCCACUUCUGGAUCGUAAUCUGGAAUCAUGGUUCCAGCAGUAUCAAGUAGUACUUUCCAUGCAUCUGCUGUAUAUUAGUAUCAAUGACAGGAGAAGGCAUUAGAAGCAGAAAGAUGACAAUUUGAUUCAACCUCAUCAGCCAUAUGUCUUCAAUCAAAUGAAGCAUUGUAUCAUACCUAUGAAAAAAAUCCCAAUUUGAUUUUAAAACCUGUACCAGGAUAUUUUCAUUACUACUUGAAGGCUUGCCUUGGUUUACAGAGAUACCUUAUAUUUGGUAAUUGUGAAACUUGGGGAGGAUUUAAUAAAAGUUUCAAAAAUAAUAAUUUCAAGGUCUUGAAUUGAUUUCUGUUUCUUGUAAAUCAUAAAAAAUGAAAGGACAAGUUAAUUAUAUGUCACUCUUGUGCUCUAUUGCUUCUUCGUGAAUAAUAAAGUACACGAAACAUAACCUGCCAUUGUUUGCAAGUAAAUAUCUCUGUAUUCCCUAAGACCCUAGAAAUAAUAUUCUACUCCCUCGACACAAAAUAUAAGACCGAUGUUUUAGAUGAUCUAAAGCCUGACAUCAAAACACUUCAUGCAUAAAGUUUCUCUUCUUGAUAAAGCCCAGUUUUCAAGCAUCAUUCUGCAUCGCAUUGUUAUAAAAGCUUUAUGCACCAUUAGCUUGAUCAAGGAUUAAAUGAAUACACUACUUGCUUCAGUGUCCAUCAUGCUCAUAUCUUCAGGAAUAAAUGAGAAACAACAUUAUGUGGGUUAUGUGAAGGAAGGACUUAGGAGGACUCGUAGAUUACAGCCAAGCAUGUGCAGACUCCCCAGUCCCCCCACCUCCCCUCCCACCCCCCCCCCCCACAACAAUCAGGGAGAGGGGGGGUUGGGGGAAGCCUCUAUGGUUCAGGAAAAUAAUGUUUAGGCCACACAAGGAAUUAACUGUUAGUAAACAUUUGCAAAAUUAAGAAAAAGAAACCAAAUGCAAAAGUACAAAUUCAAUUAUAGUUAAUGAUUCAUUUUCUUUUUCUAAUUUCUAAUUAUUAAGUUUUGUACAAACUGAAAAAAUUAUUUUUGUUGUUACUGCUACAUUUGCUAUCUACAAUGAAAAUGCACAUAUUAACAUUUGAAAGUUGCAAUGAAGUACACUCUCUGCAAAAUGUCAAAUAACGUUUCCUUUUUUUUAGUGUAAGUGGGACGGCUUGAACCUGGGAUCUCUCACUUACUCUCCCCCCCCCCCCCCCCAAAAAAAAAUAAAUAAUGUCUCAUUUUCUGUUUAAUGCAGAUAUUGUUGAGGCCUCUUUCAAAGCAUUAAAAUGGAAUCAGGACCAAAGAGCACUUGUAUGCCUGGGUAAUCUUGCGUAUGUUUCAAGGCCUCAGAAAAUAACAUUUGCAAGAAGAUUCUCUUUUAGCAUAUGCAUAAGGAAAUCAAGGGUAGAGACACUUCAGCAAACUAUAGUUCCAAAUAAUUGGUCUUCAGGAACCCAAAGAGUUGCACAGGACAGGGAAUUAGUAUAAGAUUAAAUCAAACUGGUGGUACCUAUUCAAAUUUUGUCCAAUACGGUAGAUGUACUCAUCCUCCAUUACAUUAACAGAAGGUUUGUUUUCUGAAUAGAAGAGAAAAUGAAAAAGGUAAAUAAACAUUGGCAAGAAUGUCACAACAGUCACAUGAACUACUCAAUAAGUGCAGAUAGAAAACUACCCAACCAUGUUGAGUGCAGAUCGUCAAUCUGUGGAUAAUAAAGUUGGAACCUACAACUAGAAGCUUUGAUUUGGCUACAAAUUCAUGAUAUCCACACAUUAGUAGCUCCACAAGUAUUUGUGUUGACACAAAUUGUAGGAUACAAUUUCUACAGCAUGCCUUGCUAGUUUCUGAAAAGCCUAUGACCUACCCCUCAUUCUUGAGCUAUCUAUGACCAUCAAUAGAGUUCUUCUAUAUAAACCACCUCAUAGGUAACCAGUUUUCCACUCUGUUGUUUAACACCCUUAUACAGAACUUAACCCUAAAAAGUUAAACUAACUCAAAGAAAAUAGUUCUACACUAUCACUGCAAUUUACAAUAGAUAAAUAAAACAGAACAGGAACAUUCCCUACCACCCCAUCCCUUUUUGCACUCCACCAAUACUCAUCAGUCUACAACACAAAUUCCACCACCUAACCCAAACUACAAGUUAGAUCAUGGGAAGGUGAGAGCAAAAAUGACCUUCAAGAGUCCAAACAAAGCCACGCUGUUUCUCAUCAAAGCUAAUGUCAAUGGUGAUUGGAUCAUGGGAAGGUGAGAGCAAAAAUGACCUUCAAGAGUCCCAACAAAGCCACACUGUUUCUCAUCAAAGCUAAUGUCAAUGGUGAUUAUAUUAACAACAAGGGAUUGAUUUGGCAAUUUCUCAGUAGCCCGCUUUUGUAAAGAGCAUACAAUUAAUCCUGGGAUUCAAAAGAUUUCUAUUAGACUAACACAGCAUUGAUGUAUGAGUAGCUAAAGCAACAUAACUAAUGAUGUUUAAUUUUAAAAAAGUAUUAAGAAAAUUAAGAAACCUUUCACUGUGAUCAACCUGAGGCAUUUCGAGUGAAUGAAUAUACUGGAGACGCUUCCAUAAUUGGAAAUAUUUGACUGACAAGAGGUCCUAACUGCAUCAUAGCAUAAUACAACUUCAAAAAUGAGGAAUGUUACAAAAGCAAUAUUAGUUCUUUGAGAGGCAGGAGACAAAAUUUGACACGGAUUCUAAAGCAAGGGCUGAGAAACUGGAGCCCUACCAGUUGAACGAGUAUAGUAACAACUCAUCAUAUAAGCAUAUUUACAAUCAACUCCGCCUUGGUAUAUAAGAUUUAAAAUGAAAUUAAGGUUCAAAAACAUAUGACAAAAUUGAUCCACCAAAUCUCAAGGUAUAAUAUUUAUGCAAUAUCAAAAUAUAAAUUAAACAAACUAGAUAAAUGUUUAGAUCCAAAUUUCCAUAUAAUCCUCAAUGUUGAUUUGCUCGAGUUAAACCAUCACCAAGAUCAUGGAUAUGUUAACUAUAAUGUUGUUUACAUCGAUUCCCAUUUAUACUGAACUAAUUUGUAUUCUUGAAUGAACGGAAGACCGAUAUGACUUCACCCUUUGGAUGAAUAAUAAUUGGUGAACAGUUCAGUAUAAGGACAAAAUUACAACAAUCACAAAUGAACAAAAGUGCGUUAGUUGCUGUAGAAGCCAUCAGCAAGCAGAAGCAUAGAUACUAAAACUCCAAGCAGAAAGAUCUAGAAAUGAAGUGCAAAGUCAGUAAUAUGUACAGACAUACCAUUUCCACAAAUAUAUGCAAUCUACUAUGGACACUCUUUUAAUUUAUAAACUGCAUAUUACACUUUCUACUUCACAUUUUUUUCCCUUUAUUUUCUGAGUUGCUACCUUCAGUUACCAUUUGUCCUGUUUCACUUAUAAGAUUACCCAUUUUCUUGCUCCCUGUAACGUCACCAAUUAUUUCCUUUCCAAAAAAAAAAUCUUCACUUUACAUCAACUUCAUGGCAUAGCUGAAGCAAUAUAAGUUACUCACAACCCACCCAUUAUAUGAGCAUAUACUAUCUGACAUAUUAUAAAAAAUUUUCUUUGUUAAUUGACAGUCAUAGUAUGACAUUGAUGUGAUGGCACCUUUACAUUCCUUUAUGCAUUAGCUUUUUCAUGUUUGUUUUAACAUUUUCCAUCUUAUACAUAUUCCAAUGUAAAGGGAAUAGCAUGACAAUUAAGGAGAUUUUGAGGAUGAUAGGCAUGUGAUCCGACACAACGGGUCAUGUAUACAUCUUUCGACAACUAAGAUGUUACUAUCCAUAGGAUUAUUGAAGGAUUAGUAGAAUUGCACUUGAAAAAGGUAAUAAACUCAUGCCAUGGCAUGAUAAUGAAAGCAAUCUUAGUAGCUAAAGAGCCCUUCAUCCACCAAGUAUGCUCUCAGAAAUGGCAGCAGCUGGGUAAACGUCAAAUAUCUACAGGACAUGACUUUUACUUCACUGGUGGGGGAGGGCUUAGAGUGCAACGCUUCACCAGCAUCUACACUCACAAAUCGUAGAGUUCCCAGAACUCAGACAAACUACAUCAGUCAGUUGUAUCGCUAUCAUAGAUCCUCAAUAGAAACCACGAUUCUUUUAAAUUUACCCUAUAUAUUGGUUUGAAGAUUCAGAGAGGCAAUGAAAGAAUAGGCUGUUUACCUCGUGAAAUUUGAGCAGAAAUUAGAUUUAAGAAGUAGAGGUUAAUUAGAGAUUAGGAGAGGUAAAGGGCAAAAGAAAGGAAGGAAGGAAAGAUGACUACUAAGACUUCACAGGUAAGAGACUAAGAGGGGUUUCGUUCUGAAACUUUCUUGAUUCAAACUCACCCUCAUUUACAAAAACUAAUGCAAGCUAUUAAAAAAGUCUAACACAGCAACCUAAAAGCUUUCUCAUGUAAAAAAAAAAAAGCAGCCAUUCAAGAGUAGAGUCUGUGGCAAUUGUUGUCCACUACAAUAGUAGCUAUGUAGGAUGACCAUUGAACUCCCAACCAUGGGUGGUCUUUGAAAGUCCACCCAUGCCUACCCAUUGGACUUCCAAUCAUGCUUUACCCUUGGACUUCCACUACUAGUUUCAAGUACAGUAUCAUUAUCAGGCAGCCAACUACUUACCAACAAAAGUUGCAGCAACAAGCUCAACAGUUGCACACUGAAAAUUGGCAAAUGAACCACAAUCUGAAUCUUAAAUCAAUUCCAGAGCUAAAAGAUUGUGAAACUGAAGUUUUUUUUCCUUCGAUAUAUUGAUGUCUUUCAUGUCCUGCAUCACACUAGCUAAGCCGUGGCUACAAUUAUUUGAUCCACCCUAGAGCACCAUUACCUGCUUGGCAUAGUAUGCAGCAGCUCUUAUGUCACAUGGUCGGAACUAAGAGGGAAACAAAAUGCCCUAUAUACAAAUCGAAAAGGAUGAUUUUACAAACUAAUCUUAUUAUCCAUAGUAAAAAUGAUAUAUAUGAAAGGAUACCCAAAUCUAAGCAAAUUUGUCAGAUACCACUGAAAUGAAUCAAUUUGCAGGACUCAACUAGGUUGCAGGUGCAACACCAACUUCUACACUCACGAGUUGCUGCCAUCCUGUGCAUGAACUCAUAGAGACUAUUUCAGCAAGUGGCAUAACACAGAUGCAUCCUGACUCACUAAACAUUGUUUUGAACUACUCAAUCUACCCAUAGAAGUCCAUUCCCAGCUUCACAUAUUACAUAACAGCUCUUUAGUCAUUAUGAGCCAGCCAGGAAGAAUUGUAAUCCCCAAAGGUUUUUGGGCUCUUGAAGGGUGGCCUCCAAGAGUUCAUGGCCACAACUGUAUAAGAAAAGGAAAUCCCCAUCCAUGUUCCUUGGAAGCCAGUAAAAGCCAGAACUAGGAACAUGAAAGAAACUAAAGCAUAAACUGCAAAUUUUUCCUUCCCCAGGAGCAUUGCAUGAAUAGCCCAAGUUAUGGCAGUUAGAGAUGAAGGGGGCAAAAAGGGCAAUUUUCUUUCUUCUUUUUUUGUGUGAAGGAAUAAGGGUAAGUACUGUAAAUACUUAAAUAAAGAAAGACCUUUAGCGUUGAAAUAAAUAAAAAAAUAGCAAACAUCCAAUUUAAUAAAGAUUAAUUGCUCAACUUCAACAGCAAAAAAUGUUACAAGCCACCAUUUUUUAUUUUUGGAUAGUCAGGAUAACAGCUAAGCCCCUUAAAUUAGUAUUGGAACAGAAUUACCUGCUCAAAGUAUGGUACUGCCUCUGACGCUGGCCUGUUGUUGUAUGAUAUUAUUGCAUUUGCCUUCAUUGAGAGACAAGUAUAACCUUCAUUAAGUCAAAAAGUACUAAACACUGAACUACAGUGCAUUUUCACACAUUAAAGCUGCAAAAGCAUAACUUUUUAGCUAUAUCUUUCUUAUCUUAAUUAAGUUCAAUUUUGGUUAAGCACUUAUGAAACUUUGGAAGAAAGAAGGAACCUUGGGUAUCUUCUCACAAAAAUAACUUCCAGUAAGCACUUGUAGAAGUGCACCAUUGCUGCAAUUAUAGUUAAACCAAAUAACGUCAAGGAUAGUUUCGUGAUAAGAAUGAAAUAAAAGUUAGAUAAAUUAGAUAGCAUUUUAGGCAUGGUUAUCUAUAACGAAGUCUCAUCGGAAUGAAACUUAGGAGUACUAGCAAGGUUUUUAACCUUGAAGUAUUCUUCAUCACGCUCACCAUUUCAAAGUAAACGUUCCCAGCAUUUUGUUAAUUCAAUCAGUUACAAGUUCCUCCAAUCUAUCCAAGCCUAACUCGAUCAUCUUAUGUUCAAAAAACAAUUCAUUGGACAACUAUCCCAUGUUCAGCUCCAAAACAGCUUUACUGAACCUCUGCUAUGAUAAAAUGAAUGUUGCUAUGAAGGUUAGCAGCUCCAAUACACAUUGAUGUAAAGAUUCCUCAAGAAAAAAAGAGGACACGCCUAACAUCCUCAGGACAAAGUAUAUCAUUGAACAUACAAACUAACAUUAGACAACACAAUUAAGGCUUUAUGAAGUUUAAUUUGUGAUCAUUAAUGCUCAAUUAACCUCCACUCACCUAUGGCCAACCGAGUAAAGUGGAAGAUCAACAAUAUCAUCAGGUGAAAGGCCAUAUUCUGGCAAUUCAGACCCCAAAAUCAAAUCAAAGCCAGCAUGAAACCUCUCAUAAAUCUCCCUAGUUACUUUUUCAUGAUCAAAUGUCGCGUUAUAUGGCACCAAGAUAAUGAAAUAGCCUUCAUUUGCCAGUUGCUCAAGCAAAUAGCUGCCACCACAACAAAAACAACUAAUCAAACAAAACAGAUCAUAAGACUCUAUUAGCAUUUUAGUUUACAAUAGAAAAAAUUGAAUUAACAACCCUCUGUUCUGUAGUAAACAUCACCAGCGCAAUGUCAUCACAGUUUGAAUUUCAAUCAAGUACACCUUGUUUUUCCAGCGCAAUGUUUCCAUCUUCUUUUCCCGAGUUAAAAAAAAAUUACUUCAACCAGAGGAAAAAAUCUUCCAAUAAAAAAAAAUUAACGCUACAAGCAAAUUUAUUUUAGUUUCUGUGUUUCAAGAAUUAACUCAAGGAUUAAUCUAAUAUAGUGUGUUAAAACUGUAGUUGGACAAGCAAGUAGCCACAUAUAUUAAUCCAGAAAUUAAAUUAAAAUGUUCCAUCCCAGAAAUCUAACAGCACUUCAUCAAAAUAGCAAAAAAAAAAAAAAAGACAUGAAAAUUAUCAACUCUAAUAGUCAAGUUUGAAACAGAGAUAUUAACGACAGGCGAAUAUUGAUUGACCUGUAAGAAACUUCGGGGACAGCUCCAACAAAAGCACCUCCCAAAAAUUUAAUAAUGGCUUUGGGUUUUUUCCCUCUUGGAGGAGGAAUGACCAAACAAGACUCAAGCCUGUUGUAAAUUCUACCAUUAUGAUUCACAAAAGAAGUGUUCUUUGGAGCUAUUGGGUUUAACCAUAUUCAUUUGGGUCCUGCAAAUUGUCAUUUUUGAGGGUCUUGCGCAAUUCUCAGUAGGGAAAACCCCUCUGGAGAGAUAAUUGAGGAAAGGGCUUUCUUUAAAUUUGUUGAUUCUUGGAAAGUUGUUGAGAACAGAAGUGGUGCUAGCCACGGCGGCCAUGGCCGGCCUUCUUCACUCGGAGUCGGAGGUUCUAGUUGGGUGUUGGGAGGGGAAAUUUGGAGCUAAAAAUGUGAAGCGCGGGAGGCAGUACGUGGCAUUCUACUUGCGCCUCCUUUGUGUCAGCUACAUUUCCUAUUUAGAUUUGGAGUCUCCGUUUUAGUGGAUUUUGUGCAUUUGUUUGGUGAUAAUCGAGUAAUUGUCUAAUUUCUCCUCUUUUUUUUUUUUUUGGCCUUACGUGCAAUUUGUGUCUUUGAGUCCUUUUUUUUUUUUUGGUCAAAAAUCAUUUGUAUUGUAUUAGUGUAGUAAUCAUUUAUGUACGCAUGUACAAUUAAGAGACUACUGAUUGUAAAAUUUAGAUGUGUCUCUAUUUUAAGGUGCACACGAACUAUAUUUCGUAUUUAAGAUUGGCUAAAUUAUCUUUUUAUUCCCCUGUGGUUUGAUACUUUACCACAUAAUCCCCCUAUGGUUUAAUAAUCUAUAUAUAACCUCUUCAUGGUUUGAGUUAAAAUAUCACCGUUAAUUUUUUCGUUAAAACUAACGAUCAAUAGUAAAAAGUCAAAAUCAAACUAAUAAAUUAACAAAUUUAUGCUUUUAUUACUUCUUUUUUCCCUCCAAACGUAAAAAAGAAGAAAUUGAAAUAAAAACUACAUACAUAAGAACUGGAAAAUACCAUUAAAAUUUUGAUUUGAAAACCUAUAAUGAUAUUUGUAGUAAAAAAAAUUGGUAUUUUUGUUUCUUAUUUAUUUGUUUUAUAUUUCGCUUCCAUCUUUUUUGUUUCUUAUUUAUUUAUUUAUUUAUUUCCCUUCCAUUUGUUUUGUAAUUGGAGAAAGUUAAUAUUUUGUAUUUUAAAUUAUAGAUUUUCAAAAUAAUCUCUUCUCUUCCCAAGAGAGAGAGAGAGAGAGAGAAGAAAAAGAAAAAAAGUAAUGAUAGGGUGAAUUUGUCAAUUUAUUAAUUUGACUUUGACUUUUUACUAUUAACUGUUAGUUUUAAUAGAAAACUAAUAGGGACACUUUAACUCAAACCAUAAGAGAAUUAUAUAUAGGUUUUAAACUAUAGGGGCUUAUGUGGUAAAGCCCAAACCAUAGAGGGUGAAAGGUAUUGAACCCUUUAAGAUUUGGUUUAGUAAUGGUAAAUCUUGUCAAACAGUUGCUAACAUGAUCAAGUUUUUUUUUUUUUUUUUGUGGGUCAAAAGUCAUUCGUAUUGUACCAUUGUAAUAAUCAUUUAUAUAAGCAUGUACACUCAUUUUAAGGCACAUAAAAAACUAUACUUCGCACAUAGGAUUUUGGUUUAGUUGAAUGGUAAAUUUUGUCAAACAAUUGCUAACAUGAUUUUCCUAUUUCUUUACAUAAAAAGAAAACUACACUUACGAAAACAGGUUUGCAGCUUCCAACUAUCUACAAUUUUUUUGGUUGAUCUUAUUUACUACUUGGGAUAAUUGCAGAAACCUCCCUUGACUUUUAUAGUAAUAGCAUUGACCUCCCCUAUCAAUUUUGAAAUAGCACUGAUCUCCCCUAUCAAAAGUUGGAGGCAAUUUAAUAGGUAAAAGUGGGUCAAUUUACUAAAGUACCCCUGACAUGAUUUAAUUUUACCAAAUGAAUGUGAUGAGUACUUUCAUCAAACCCAACAAAACAUUUGUUAAUAACAAUUACACUAAAUUAACUAUUUCUGCAUAGUUUAACUAAUUAACCAAUUAACUAAAUAACUAAUAAUCUAAUUAAUUAAUAACUAAUUAUCUAAUUAACUAAUUAACUAAUUAACUAAUUGUUAAUAGUUAUUAACUAAUCAAACUAUUUCUGCAUAAUUAAACUAAUUAACUAAUUAUCUAAUUAACUAUUAACUAAUUAACUAAUUAUCUAAUUAAUUAAUAAACUAAUUAACUAAUUUCUGUUUAUCCAAUUAACUUAUCUCUAUUUAUCUAAUUAACUAAUUAACUAAAGUUGUUGUCUGUCCGAAACUAAUAAAUUAUUUACAUGUUAAACUAAUUAACUAAUUAGCUGCUUAACUAAUUAACUACCUAAUUAUCUAAUUAACUAAUUAACUAAUUAUCUAAUUUAGUUGUCUAUCCGAAACUAACAAACUAUUUGCAUGUUAAGCUAAUUAACUACUUAACUACUUAACUAAUUAACUAAAGCUGUUGUUUAUCCUAAACUAACAAACUAUUUGCAUGUUAAACUAAUUAACUAAUUAACUGCUUAACUAAUUAACUAACUGAUUAUCCAAUUAAUUAAUUAACUAAUUUUUGUUUAUCUAAUUAACUAAUUAUCUAAUUAACUAAUUAACUAAAUCUGUUGUCUGUCCGAAACUAACAAACUAUUUGCAUGUUAAACUAAUUAACUAAUUAACUACUUAACUAAUUAAUUAUCUAAUUAUCUAAUUAAUUAAUUAACUAAUUAACUAAUUUCUGUUUAUCUAAUUAACUAAUUAACUAAAGCUAUUGUCUAUCCAAAACUAACAAACUAUUUGCAUGUUAAACUAAUUAACUAAUUAACUGCUUAACUAAUUAACUAACUAAUUAUCUAAUUAAUUAAUUAUCUAAUUAAUUAAUUAACUAAUUAACUAAAGCUAUUGUCUGUCUGAAACUAACAAACUAUUUGUAUGUUAAACUAAUUAACUAAUUAACUGCUUAACUAAAUAACUAAUUAAUUAGCUGACUAAUUAACAAACUAUUUGCAUGUUAAACUAUAUGCAGUACGCAUUACCUAUUUAAAGUAUCGGCUCUUUAUAGGUAUUUUACUUUCAAACAUUUAAUUUAUGAUAAAAAUAUCAAUGUUUGUAAGUAAAAUUCAAAAAGUGUUACAAAAAAUAUCAAUAUUCUUACUUUCAAACAUUUAAUUUAUGGCCCUAUGCCCCUCUCUUUUUGUAAGAAUAUUACUGUAACACUUUUGAAUUUUACUUACAAACAUUGAUGUUUGUAUCAUAAAUUAAAUGUUUGACAGUAAAAUACCCAUAAAGAGCCGAUACUUUAAAUAGGUAAUGCGUACUGCAUAUAGUUUAACAUGCAAAUAGUCUGUUAAUUAGUUAGUUAGUUAAUUAGUUGAUUAGUUAAGCAGUUAAUUAGUUAAUUAGUUUCACAUGCAAAUAGUUUGUUAGUUUCAGACAGACAACAGUUUUAGUUAAUUAGUUAAGCAGUUAAUUAGAUAAAUAGAAAUUAGUUAAUUAAUUGAUUAGAUAAUUACUUAAUUAGAUAAUUAGUUAAUUAGUUAAUAAUUAAUCAGAUAAUUAGUUAAUAGUUAAUUAGUUUAACUAUUAACAAAUUAGAUAAUUAGUUAAGCAAUUGUCAAGCAAGAAGAGGGCAAAAUUGGAAGAAAUUUCUUAUCUCACUUCUACAAAAGUUGUCAGGGAGGUUUCUGCAACGAAUUGUUACUGUUCAGGGGAGGUGAAUGCAAUUUCAAAACCUAGAGGGGAGGUCAGUGCAAAUGUCAGAAAUCUCAGGGGAGGUUUCUGCAAUUAUCCCUUACUACUUUUGAGAGCCAAUACUAAUUACUGCUAGCUCUUUUCAAUUGCCAGCAUCAUUGCCUCUAGUAUCGCUAAAGCAUCAGCAGUUUUGGCCUCACGCAUUCUUCGACUGGUAGUGCCCAAGUGACUUUGAGGAUUCCCAAUCCAUCUCUCAAUCUAAUUCACAAACCAACUAUACUUUUGAUGCUGUCUGUGUUUUUAACAGUCAAAAUCUUUUGCUGGUCACUUAAAGAAUUAGCACAAGCUGCUUGUACAUUGCUAGGAUUGCUUCUUCUGUGGUUCUCCCUUGCCUGUUUACCUUUAGGAAUCCCCCCCCUCCCCACCCAAUCUUCUGUGGCUUUCCUGGAAAUCCAGAAUCUAGUUUGCUCAUUAUCAUUGAAGCAACUUUCGUUCCUACCGUUGUGUGUUGGCCACAGCAGAUUCAGAGUCAAUGCAAUAUGCCUCCUUCCUUUUAUUCCUUUUGACUACUUCCUAAAGUUGGAUCCACCGUACUUGGAAGUUCCAUGCAUGACUGCUAAUCCAUCCCAUUGUACAAAGACUGCAUUCCUUGCAUCUUGAACAGAAAUGCAGGAGAAGAACAUGUGUUCUAUUGUUUCAAUGUCCUCACCAGUCACCACACUUCUUGCAUAUAGAAUUGCCUUUAACCAUUCUUUUUUGCUUUUUUGCAGAACUUCAUUUGCGGGGAAUAUAUGGUUCAGACACUUCCAUAUGAAAUGUUUGAUUUUGUGUUGAUAUCAAGUCCCCAUAUAUUUUUCCACAAUCCUGCCAUUAAACUAUUACUGCUAGGCUUACUCCCAUCAGUCUUGUCAUUAUCCUCCAUCUGAUUCUUUGACUUUUCCUGGGAAUACCCAGAGAUCACCAUUUAAACCCCUGUAGAGUUGUGAACCUAUCUUAAUCUUAUCCUUGCCACUAAAAAGAUUUGAGGGGGUAACUCAAAAUUGAUCUGCAAUCCUCUAGAGAGAAUAAAGAUUGAAUUAAUUUUUUAUUCCAUUCUUCAGCCAAACAAUCAAUUGAUUCACUGUGUUUAUUUCACAGAGACUUGGCUUUGCAACUGAUAACUUCCCAGUUUUGGUUUGUGGUAUCAAUCUAUCUUCCCAAAUUUUGAUACUUCUCCCAUCACCUAUAAUUCUCCAUGUCCCUUCUUCUAUCAAUUUGAUAGCACUUUAUAUGUUCUACCAUAUCCGUGAUACUCUUAGGAAUGCAUUAGGCCUUCAGAAUUGAGGUUGUGGGAAAGUACUCUUUCAUUAUUUUGCUAACCAACAACUUUGGAGUAGUGAGAACUCUCCAUUACUUGUUUGGCUAGCAAAAUAGAAUUAAAUUGUUGCAAGUCCCUGAAUCCCAAUCAUCCUUUGCCUUUGACUUCUGUGAUUUUCUUCAAUUGAUCCAAUGAAUCUUCUUGUCACCCUAAUCACUGCCCUACUAAAGCUUGGCCAUAUAUAAGCACAGGUCUUUACAAAUACCUUUUGACAUCUUGAACACUGACAUAGCAUUAUUCAGCAUGAUCAUCGCAACUGAUUUCAACAACACUUCUUUCCCAUCUCGGCCUAGCAUCUUCCCUUUCCAUUCGAGCAGUUUUCCUUUAAUGUAUCCCAAAACCUGAUUCUUUGAUCUUCCAAUCACCAAUGGUUGUCCUAGAUAUUUUCCUUGAUGCACUCUUUGAAUUCCUCCCAAUUGUUGUAGCAGCUCAUAAGCUUGGCUGUUCUUUGUAUUCUGGCUGAAAACAAAAGUUGAUUUCUUAUCCUGAUGCUUUUUCAAGUAGUUGAGAAUUCUCCUAAUCUCCCUUGCAUCCUUUUUUGAAGCUUUGCAAGAGACUAAGGAAUCAUUAGUGAAGAAUAAGUGGGACAGUUUUUGUCCUUUCCUUGAAAUUAUGAGCCCUGUUAUUUUCUUUCGUUCACUUGCAUGCUUGAACAAACUAGUAAAUCCCUCAGUACAAAUGAGAAAUAGAUAUGGGGAGAGGAUCCCUUGCCUGAUUCCUCUUGAAGGCACAAGAGAUCAAAGUGGCAGAGAGAAAGGAAAGGAAUGUGUGAUUCCUCUUUAAGGGAGAGGACACAACCAAGUUUAUCACUAUCAAUAUUAAAGGAAUAAGACACAGAAUUCGGGCAAUUCAUAAUCCAUAAAAUCCAAACAAAGUCCCGCCUUUUUUUUGGAUAAAAAGAAAUUAAUAGUUUUCAAAAAAAAAAAAAAGGAAUGGAUAUCGACUUUAAAAAUUAAAACAGGACUUAAAAUUGUGACUAUUUCGGCCUAAAAGACAUUCUAAAAAAAAUUUUUUGAAAAAAAAAAAGGUAAAUUGCUACUUGAUAUUGGUUUUAUGUAUCAAGCCACCAAAAGGUUUCUGAAAAAAAAUGAGAAAAACUUUUUUAAAUGGCUAGAUCUUUAAAAAUAAGAGAAAAAUGUUGGGGAGUCAUAGUUGGUGAAAGAGAAAACAAAGAUUUGAUUGGCUCGAAACUAAAGGUGCGUUUGAUAAAACUGAAUUUGAAAUCUAAAAUCUUAAGUUUAAAUAUAUUAAAUUAUUGAAUUGUUAAGUAUUAAAUCUAAUACAUGGAGUACAUAUCAUAUCCAGUGAUAAGGGAAUAGCUUAUCACCUAAUUUUAGAAACAAGUUUUGUUUAGAAAAUUUAGUGCCACUUAAUUAAUUCAGAUGUUCAAUUUUUUAUUAUCAAAUAAUCUAAAUAUAUUAAAAUCUAAUUCCAUUAAAUUUAAGUGCUGAAUUGGGUUAUCAAACAGGUCCUAAGACAUAUUUUCAACAUAAUCUAAAUUAGUUGCAAGAUUUAAUCAAAAUUUUCUAAUAUAACUCUCCAACCUAUCACAUUUGGACGUUUUCUGUAUGAAUGCAAAACCUUAAACUUCGGGGAUAUCGAAAGGGAUAAAAUUUUCAUCUAAGAUCUAAUUGCUACCAAUGCAUGAAUUGGGAAGCCCAAAAUAAUCCUUUGAAGGUAUUGUGAGUAAUGCAAAAUAAGACUUGAAGAAAAGAAUUAUUAGAACUUCCAAGUUUAGGUACAAGUGGAUAAGGAAAGGGGAAUACAACAAAUAAUAAUUAUUCAUACUCAACUUACCAUAAUAACUUUAAGUCCAAGGAUCACUUACAUAAAAUGUAAUUUAGAGAUUAAUUCUUUUGGCAUAAAAGAAAUCUUUAUGUGAAUUAAUCUAGUAAAUUUGACCAUACUGUCAAAUACCCAGAUACUAGUUUAGAUGUUUCGCAGCAUAGUAGAUGAGGUCAACUACUUUCCUAAUAGAAGUAACAUAGUAUAUACUAGUCUAACCAUAUUAACAAUGUCCAAUUCUUGUUAAUGCUUAAACUAGAGAUAUUCAAGAAUAAAUUUUACACUUAAUCAAAUGAACCUCACCAUCAUAACACUUGUGAUUUCAUUGACUAAGUUUAUUCUAGGACUUUAUCAUACAAGUAUAAACAUACAUGUAAUCAGUAUGAUAAAGAUGUCAUUUAUUAAUGCAUAAAUAGUUUAAGUACAUAUAAAAUCUCUAAAAGUGAUUAUCAUUAGGGCGUACAUACUUUCAUUUUCUUAUAAGGAUGUGUUUCCUCAUAUUUCAUCCUUAAGUUUCUCACUAAGUUUUGACAAUUCUUUUGCAGAGAUGUUUUCAUAAUGAUUUUUUCAGGGUUUAUGUUGCAUGCAAUUUUUAGUUGCGAGUGGACUCAAAACCCGAUACUCCCAACACAAGUCUCAAAUCCUUACCAAUUGAGUCACGUGAAUAUAUGAAUAUUAUUUAUGAAUAUUAUCUUAAUAAUCAAAGUUCAUUUAAAACUUUCUCACUCAUCACUAAAAAAUGUGGAUGCCUCCCCAUUUUAGUCUUUCAGGUGUCAUUAGCAAGAUAGAUAUGUCCAAUGUAAAUAUUUCUAACCAUUCAAUGCCUAUCUCACAACUAGGGAAAAUUGCUAAAAUAUAGGAUAAGCAUAGGAUGUCAAUGUUACCUUGGCUAGAUAAUUAGGUAGUUAGAAUAAAAUCAAAGUUUAGGAGAUUCUAUAACUUUCAAAUUUAUAGCAUCUGCAAUCUUGGUAUUUUCCAUUAGAGGAUAUUUUGAUUGUAGUUCUAUAUUCUAGGAUUUUCCACAUAUAUAGGUAUGCAUAUUUUUUUUUUAAAUUUUUUUUCUGAUUACAAUUAUGUAGGGGUAAAAUUUUCCUUCAAGACUGAUUUGAUGAUAUCGCAUUAUAUCCAUAGCAUAUUUAAUUAAAUAAAAAAUGGAUAUUGAGGAGGUGAUUUUUGGUUGGUAACUAGACCGACCUGGAUCAGUCCUCUCUGGGAUGAAGUGAGGUGAACUCCUGUGUCCGAAGUGAACCUCCUCGUCCGAAGUGAGUGGCGGGGCUUCUCCCCUGGUAUCACUCCGACGAUCAAGUUAGUAUGAGAACGAGAAUAAUGAGAAUGAGUUAAUGAACAGUGUGCUUACUUGGUGGGAGUAUGAGUGAGGUAUUUAUAGGAGAGUAGAGGACAGAGCGGAGGGCUUACGCUGGUGGGACCCACCCUCUGGUCAUUACGGCUCUGUCCCGUGUCAGGAGGUCUGACUCUGACACUGUAGCUGUCUUGGGUAUGAUGACGGGGAGUAUUGUGUAGGUGCCAUUAAGUGCCUCCAGUGCUUUUCAGGUAAAGCACUGGUCCUGGGUGAUGUCAGAUGGUUCGACAUCAUCAGCGUGCAGCUGAGGCGGGGGUGCCGAGGUCGGCUACACAGUAUGCUAUGGAAACGGCCGAGGCCGAGCUCAGGGAUGAUGUCCGGGACACGGAUGAGCUCCGAUGAGGGACGAGGUGAGUCCACCUCGGCCACUCGGGAUGGCCGAGGUGAGCAUCCUCAAUAAGCCCCCCAAGCCUCGGAUGCUCCGAGCAAGGGAGGUGCCGAGGCUUCCUAGUGCUGAAGUCAUGAAGAGUCGAGGCUCCGAAACCGCUCCGGAAGAUGCGGGGACUCGACACGUGGACGAGUCAGUUGAUAGGACGUGGUCACUGAUAACCGUCGCGUCGUGAAGUAGUGGGACGUUUCGUGCAGAAGGUGUCAGUCGAAAGGACGGGGCAUUAAUGAGGAGAGAGGGAGGCGUGACGUUUUGAAUUCGAUCGUGAUCGUCUUUUCGUAUUCUUGCCGCCUCUUCGGAUUCUGGCUCUCCUCUAUAAAUAGGUGGUCCCUUUCACCGCAUGGCCCAUCACUUUCUUUCUUCGCUUGUGACUUGCAAAAUUUGUGAGCGUAGCCGAGAUCAAUCCUGCCAGCCGAGAUCACAGCCGAAGUCGUCCACUUCGUCCAGUUCGGUAUACAAUAGUAAGUAUCCCUUUUUCUUCUUGUCUUGUCUUUCACAUAUGGCCAAAACGGCUAAAACCCACAAAGAAACCGUGACCCCGAGCUACCAGACCGAGAUGAGGGCGGAUUCUGAGGAAGAAGCGACGACGUCCAGUUCGGAGGGGUCGGCACAGGGUUCCGAGGAAGGAUCGACCGAAGUGAGAGUCGGCGAGGCAGGCUCGGGAUUGGAAUCGUCCGAGAUGAGCGAGGGUGGUUCCGAGGUCGAGUACAAUACCAAGCUCGGGACCGAGAUACCCCAUGACGAGGGCGUGCCGGAGCCAGUUGCUCCAGUGGACGUAGCCAACAUCAAUUUCGGCCAGAUGCCGAAAUUUAGGAGUCGAGUGGGAAGGGAUAGGGCCGAGAAGGUGGUAAACAAGUACCCCUUCCGGCCGUGGUAUGAAGUUUUGCCGCCCGAGGUGGAUGACACAGCCGCGGAACCCCCCUUCGGCAUGGUGGCCGUCUACAUUCAACAGCUGGAGGCCGGACUGAGGAUGCCGACGUCGAGGUUCCUCCGGGACUUACUUCGUCACUUCCAGGUGAGAAUCACCCAACUCACCCCGAAUGCGAUCCGCAUCAUUGUGGGGUUUGAGAUGCUGUGCCGACAUCAGGAGGUGACUCCCUCCGUCGAUCUCUUCCGCCGAUGCUACACCCUCAAGGCGCACGCGACUGAUAAGGGAUGGUUUUAUGUUGGCAACCGGAACAAUGCCAUCCCGAAGUUGGUGAUCGGUGCUCCCAGCUCGAUCAAGAACUGGAAGCGCGACUACUUCUUCGUGCCCGGAGUGGACUUUCCGAGGGGUUUUUGGUGGAGGCCAAUUAAGGCGAAGGCCGACCCCUCAGCGGGGGAUGCCGAAGAGGAGUCCUUCCAGAAGCUGAUGAAGUCGGGACUUCGGCUAUUCAGCCAUGACUACCCCGAAGCCGUGCUCGUGGAUGGGGGGAUAAGUCGAGCCGUGAUCAAUACUACCAAAGCUCCCUUCUUUUCCACUGAACUUGAGAAGCCUUGUAAUUUUCUUUCAUGACUUUUCUUUUCACUUCGGCUAAGGCAUAUGAUAAUAUUUAUUUCUUGUGCAGUGACUAAACUGUCUGACCUCGUCGUCUCCGGCUCGUCCGAAGUGGCCAAGAGGCAGAAGAGGAAAAGUUCGGACGAGACGUCGGCGCCUCCGCCAAAGAAGAAGUCACAAGGACCAGCCGCUAAGACUUCAGCGCCCAAAGGCACUUCCACCAAGGCUGGCCAGAGCAGCUCGGCCACUACGGCUACUGGGUCCACCUCGUCUGCGCCAGAGGGAGUUCCCCUUGGAGUUGUUAAAAUAGUCACACCUCCUUCUGGCCGAGGUAAGCAGCUGAAGCCUCCGAUUAAUCCGGUGUCGGGGACCUCGCUAUGGAAUCGUUUCCAUAGCCCCCCAGUGUUUUCCGGAGACGAGAAGACGCACUCCGGCAAUCAUUGGUGUCCGAACUGGAAGAUUUCGGUCAACGACAGGUGCCAACACCCUCGGGUCGCUCAGGAGCUAAUAAUGCACUCCAUUCUGCCAAGGGAUUUGGAGUUCAUGAAGAAGCUGAGCCCGGCCGAGCUGGUUCAAAGUCUGAUGGUGACCACGGCUUCCACCUCAGCCUUCGCGGCCGAGAUGGCACACCGAUAUUGUGCUCUGGUCGAUGAGCAGGACACCGGCAAGCUACAGAAUCAGAUCUCCAAGUUGGAGAAACAACUGGCGGUGUCCGAGUCUGAGAAGGCCGAGCUUGAAAGGCGGCUUAAGGAGGCCGAGGUGAAGGAUGAGGAGGCCGUGGCUACUGUCAACAGUCUCAGAUCGGCUCUCGAAGAAGAGCAGAAGAGGGGGGACGAGGCGAAGAAGUCCCACCAGCAAGCCCUUGACAGUGCUGGAGCCUCGGCGGUGGACGAAUUCCGGAGGUCUGAGGCCUUCACCAGGGAUCUCGGCCAACUGCUCACGCCGAACUUCAUGUUUGGCUUCACAUCAGCCAUAGACGAGGCUGCAGCUCAUCUCGCUCCCGAAGCCUUGGAGUCUCUGAAAAAUCAUACCAGUUACAACGAGGACUCCAAGGAGUUGUGCGACCGGAUGGCUGAGGGCCUCCAGGCUGGAAGGGACCUGGCCGAGGUCCAGGCCGAGUUCAACAAAUGGCUGUCCGAAAUCGACGAAGUGUUCGAGGGGGUUGAAGAGGAAGAAACUGGAGAGGAUGCCGGGGGAGACGAAGCCGGAGGGGACGUCGGCAAAGAGCCUGGAGAUGAAGUUCACCCCGGCGGAAAGGAGGCCGAAGAGAUGGAUGCCCAGGAGGGAGCCAAGACCGGGGAUGCAGCCGAUACGGGGGUUUAGGCUUGUAGGCUUCAAGGGGGUGGCCGAGGUGAGGUGCUUAGUAGCACUCCGACCUCGGGCUUGUAUUUUUUGUAAUACUUCCGUUGAAUGAAAGUCUGUUUCUUUUCAUCUCAGCUCUUUAAUUCCUUGUUUCUUGCUUUGACUUCAUCCCUUGUUUGUCCCCCUUAUUUUUUAAUAAAGGGUGCUGGGUAUCAUAUUGUUGAAAAAUAACUAAAUGGCUGAAACCAUAACUUGACAAGGUAAUUGGAUGAAAUAACUGAAUGAAGUCACAACUUCAAGCAUAAUACAACCUAAGGUUCUCGGCGUGCCAAGACCUCGGCACAAAUGAGCCAUCGCGGUAACUCAAUUUACAAUACCCUUUAGGGUCAGAUUCCACAACUCGGUAAGGGCCUUCCCAUUUCGGGCACAGUUUUCCUUGAGGUUCAGCUCGGCUGACUGAAUUUUUUCUGAGAACCAAGUCUCCCGGACGGAAUUUACGAUGUCUGACACGGGCAUUGUAAUAGCGUGCCCGUGUGUUCUUGUAUGAAACUAUCCGGGCUGAGGCGAGGUCCCUUCGUUCUUCGACGAGGUCGAGAUCCAGCUGCCUCUCUUCGUCGUUCACCUCGGCGACAUAGGCUGCCAGCCGAGGGUUGGGAGUGAGGAUCUCAGCCGGGAUGACAGCUUCGGCGCCAUAGGUCAGGGAGAAUGGGGUCUCUUGUGUCGCUGACCUCGGCGUGGUCCGAUAUGACCACAAGACACUGGGGAGUUCCUCCACCCAAGAUGACCCAGCUUGGUGUAAUCGGGUCUUGAGACCAUGCAGGAGAGUCCGGUUGAAGUUUUCUGCUUGACCAUUGGCCUGGGGGUGGCCAACCGAAGUGAAGUGUUGCUUGAUGCCGAGGUUCUCGCACCAGGUCUUGAAUGGAUUCUCGGCAAAUUGUCUCCCAUUGUCCGAGAUGAUGAUCUGAGGUAUGCCGAAGCGGCAGACAAUGCACUUCCAAAAGAAUUUUUGAAUGGCCAGCCCCGAGAUGGUCCGAAGUGGCUCGGCCUCGACCCACUUAGUGAAGUAGUCCACAGCAGUCACAAGGAAGGUAUAGCCCCCGACCGCUUUAGGGAAAGGACCUAUGAUAUCUGUCCCCCAUUGCUCGAAUGGCCAAGGUGAAGUGAUGGGGACCAUGAAAUUUGAGGGCUGGUGAUGCUCGGGUGCAUGGACUUGGCAGGAAGGACAGCCGAGAACGAGGUCCUGGGCGUCUUGCCGAAGUGAUGGCCAGAAGUAUCCAAGGAGCAUAGUCUUCUUGGCUAACAUCCUGUGGCCGACAUGAGCUCCGCACAGGCCUUCGUGGAUCUUGUGGAGGAUAUGACGUCCGGCCUCGGGAGUGACACACCUCAGCCAGGGGCCGAGGUAAGAGCGUUUGUACAAUUCUCCAUCGCGGAGAGCGUGUCGAGCAGCCUUGCGUUGUAUCUUCCUUGCCUCGGCUCGGUCUUCGGGAAGGGUUCCCUGACUCAGGAAGAGGAUGAUCGGGGUCAUCCAAUUAUCUUCGGAGUGGACGGGGCAGGCCACCUCUUCCACAUAUGCUGGUUCAUUCAGAACUUCCACUAAGACCGUCUUGUUGAGGUCCGAGAAUGAAGUGGAGGCCAGCCGGGAUAGGGCGUCGGCUCGCUUAUUCUGGGACCGGGGGAUUCUUUGGAUUUCGAAUGACUUGAAGUAUGCGGUGAGUUGGUGAACUUUGGAGAGGUACCUUUGCAUGGUCUCAUCCUUAGCCUCGUAUUCACCAAGAACUUGGCGCACAACAAGUUGGGAGUCACUGCGGACGUGGACUUGCUGGGUGCCGAGCCUUCGGGCCAACUGGAGUCCAGCAAUUAAGGCCUCGUACUCGGCUUCAUUAUUGGUGGCUGGGAAGCCAAAGCGGAGGGCGUAGGAGCACACCUCUCCCUGAGGUCCUUCCAGGAGAAGUCCGGCUCCGCUGCCUUCUCCGUUGGAGGAUCCAUCGACAUACAAUGUCCACUGGGGUGAGGAGGACACCUCGGCUAAGGCUGAGGUGGACUCCGGACCUUCCGUGAAGGUGAGCUCGGCAAGGAAGUCAGCCAAAGCUUGAGCUUUUAUGGCGGUGCGUGGCUCGUAGGACAAGUCAUAUUCUCCCAAUUCGACAGCCCACUUGGUGAGGCGACCAGAAGCUUCGGGUCGCACCAAUAUUUGCCGAACGGGCUGGUCAGUCCUGACCGAGAUAGGAUGGGCUAAGAAAUAGGGCUUCAACCGCCGAGCGGCAUGGACUAGUCCCAGCACCAGUUUCUCCACCUGAGUGUAUCGAGUCUCCGGCCCGCGAAGAGCGCGGCUGACGUAGUAGAUCGGCACUUGGGUGCCCUCAUCUCGGAUGAGCACAGCGCUGACAGCCUCGUCGGCUGCAGAGAGGUAGAGGUAGAGCUUCUCCUCGGGCCGAGGUGAAGCGAGAGUGGGCAGGUGGUGCAAGUACUGCUUCAGCUGGUCGAAGGCAGACUGACACUCCUCAGUCCAGGCGAACUGAUCAGACUUCUUCAGCACUUUAAAGAAGGGCAGGGCCUUCUCAGCAGAUUGAGACAAAAAGCGGUUCAGUGCGGCCAGGCGUCCAUUCAGUCUUUGGACUUCUCGGAGGUUCCGAGGUGGGGACAUAUCUUGGAUGGCCUUGACUUUGUCGGGGUUGGCCUCGAUCCCCCGAUGGGAAACCAGAUACCCCAAGAAUUUUCCCGAGGUGACGCCGAAGACGCACUUCUUGGGAUUCAGCUUCAUCCUCGAGUCUCGCAGGACCCCGAAGACUUCCCUCAAGUCUAACAGGAAAGAUGAAGUGGCGAGACUUUUGACGAGGAUGUCAUCCACGUAAGCCUCCACAUUACGGCCGAUCUGAUUCUUGAAGAGCCGGUUGAUCAGCCUUUGGUAGGUCGCCCCGGCGUUCUUCAGCCCAAACGGCAUGGUGGUGUAGCAAUAAACACCUCGAUCGGUGUAGAACGCCGUCUUCUCUUGGUCCUCUUCACUCAUUCCUAUUUGAUGAUACCCUUUGAAGGCAUCUAGGAAGCACAGGAUCUCGUACCCCAUCGCCGAGUCGACGAGGGUGUCUAUCCUCGGGAGGGGAUAGCAGUCUUUGGGACAGGCCUUGUUGAGGUCGGUGUAGUCUACACACAUUCUCCAUCCGCCGGUGUCCUUUCUGACCAUGACUGGGUUGGACAACCAAGUCGGAUAUUGGACUUCGUGGAUCAUCUUGGCCGGCAAGAGCUUGUCGACCUCGUCCGAUAUGGCCUUGCUGCGUUCGGGGCCGAAGUGUCUUCGCUUCUGCCGCACAGGUCGGGCCUGUGGGUUAACGUUAAGUUGGUGAGUCAUAAGCUCGGGUGGCACUCCGACCACUUCAUCUGCGGACCACGCAAAGAUGUCUCGGUGGUCCUUGAUCAGGGAGAUCACUUCUUCUUUCAGGGGUGAAGGGAGUCCGGCCCCUACUUGGACCACUCGGUCAGGCUUGGCUUCAUCCAAGACCACUUGUUCCACUUCAUCCCCUGGCUCAAGCCUGCUGGGCUCUCCUGCCUUGUGAGGGUCGAUGCAGUCUAUGGAGAGGACAGCCGGCCUCUUUUCUUCUGACCUCGGCGGGGGCUGAGGUCCGACUGCGGCUUGGAUGGUGGCGAGGUAGCAUUCUCGGGCGGCGCCCACGUCACUGCUCACCUCAGCCACCCCCUCUGGUGUUGGAAAUUUGAAGCUUAGGUGGUAGGUAGAAUAUACGGCUCUCAAGGCAUUGAGCGUGGGCCGGCCUAUCAGCAUGUUGUAAGGAGAGUCCGCUUUGACCACCGCAAAGCUGACAGGCACAGUUCGGCAACGGGGAUGACGCCCGAUAGUCACCAUUAAAUUCACCAUGCCUUCCGGGUGGACGACGUGUCCCCCGAAGCCGACAAGGGGAGUUCUGACCGGAGUGAGUUGUUCCCGGGUUAGCUUCAAGCUCUCGAAAGUUCGGUAGUACAGGACGUCUACCGAGCUUCCGGGGUCAACGUAGACCUUCUUGACUAUAUAAUUGUUUGUGAGGACCUCAAUCACGAGGGCCUCGUGAUUGCUGGAGGCAGCGGGGACAGGGUCGCGGGGACCAUAAGUUAUGACCUCGGACAGCCUCGAGCUCGGCUCGGCCACAUCCAUGCCGGCUUGGCGGUAGGUCCGCUUUCGGGAGCUCUGGCUGUCUCCUCCCGUGGGACCACCUGAGAUGGUGUUGAUCACCCCGGCAAUGUUUGGACCAUAGCCUGGUGACCCGUCGCGUGGAGGCCUUUGGUCCCCUUUCUGGUCCUCAGGACCUCGGCAGUUGAACUUGGUGUCCCGCCUGUCUUCUCGGCGAGGACCUCGGCUCUCCCGGUGGGAGGCACUUCGUCCGAAGCUUCCAUCUUUGCGGACAAAUUGUUUCAAGUGUCCUUGCCGAAUUAGAUUUUCGAUCUCUCGUUUCAGAUCGUUGCAGUCUUCGGUCUCGUGCCCAACAUCUCGAUGGUAGGCACAGUAGAGGCUGGAGUUCCUCCUAUCUCUUCUUCCAGGGAUCUCAGGAGGUGUUCGGCCGAGGUGGUUCUGCCUCAUCACAGCCAAGACAUGAGAUCGGCUGGAAUUGAGCGGUGUUAGCUCAGCGUCCGAGGUGGAAGAUCUUCCUUUCACGAUCCGGUCAAAGACACUCCGGCGGUCCCGUGGUGGGUUUGAAGUGCCACUUGGGCCGGGUUCACCUCGGCCGAUGUCUUUCCUUCUCCGGGCAUCUUGUCCCGUACGAGAGGCUUGGGCUUCUCGCUUCAUGCGAUUCACAUCUUCACUUCGGAUUCCCUGGUCCACUCUUUCCCAGAGUUCGUGAAGUGUACGAGGGUAAUCCCGAUGGAUUUCGGUGUUGAAGAGUCCGGCCACCAACCCGUUGGUAAAGGCCGCGAGAGUUACCUGCUCGUUCUGAUCAGGUAUUUGCACAUUCUCCUCGUUGAACCUCUGAGCAUACGAGCGAAGAGACUCGCCCUGACCCUGUUGAAGGUUCAAGAGAUAAGCUGAAGUCUUCGUGAUUGGUCGAGACGACACGAAGCGGUGGAUGAACCGGUCUAUCAGCUCAUCCAGGGAGGAAAUGCUCCCUGGUUCCAAACUCCAGAACCACUUCCGGGCAGUCCCAUGUAGGAAAAUGGGGAAAGCCCGACAAAUCACGGCGUCGGGGACGCAGUAGAGUCGGAAUGCGGAGAUGAAGGCGCGGAGGUGAUCCUCGGGGUCACCUCGGCCGUCAUAGGUGUGCAAGUUUGGAAGCUUGAAGUUCGGGGGCACCCUUUCCCCAUUGAUGUCAUCCGUAAAGGGCGGGGCCCUCAUGUAGUCCGAAGCUAGGCCCCCGGGGCGCCGAGGUGGGUCCUCGGCCCGUUUCCCUAGGAGUCCUCGAGAAAACGCUCGGGAGAUGGAGGCAAUUUUAGAGGUCGCCUUGGAGGAGGCACGCCUGGAGGUACUCCGAGAGAGACGCCCCUCAUCGGAGUCUUCAUCUGAAGGUGCCUCAGGGGACUUCGUCGGCCUCCUCUUGGAAGAUUCGGCUUUUUCUUUCCCCUGUCUUUUGAGGUACCUUCCUAGCUCCUCAAAAAUGGUAGGGUUGUGUGAUACAAACUCAGCCAUCUUGGCGAUGGCCUCCUCGUUGUCAGGCUGGGUCCUCGGGGACCCUUGCUCUUCAGAGAUGCGAUCUUGCUGGGCUCCCGAGGUCUGCCCAGCCCCAGUUGAGGGAACUCGACCACUUCUGGAGCGCGUGGAUCUCAUUUUAGUAACAGUAGUCUCGUUCCCACAGACGGCGCCAAUUGAGGAGGUGAUUUUUGGUUGGUAACUAGACCGACCUGGAUCAGUCCUCUCUGGGAUGAAGUGAGGUGAACUCCUGUGUCCGAAGUGAACCUCCUCGUCCGAAGUGAGUGGCGGGGCUUCUCCCCUGGUAUCACUCCGACGAUCAAGUUAGUAUGAGAACGAGAAUAAUGAGAAUGAGUUAAUGAACAGUGUGCUUACUUGGUGGGAGUAUGAGUGAGGUAUUUAUAGGAGAGUAGAGGACAGAGCGGAGGGCUUACGCUGGUGGGACCCACCCUCUGGUCAUUACGGCUCUGUCCCGUGUCAGGAGGUCUGACUCUGACACUGUAGCUGUCUUGGGCAUGAUGACGGGGAGUAUUGUGUAGGUGCCAUUAAGUGCCUCCAGUGCUUUUCAGGUAAAGCACUGGUCCUGGGUGAUGUCAGAUGGUUCGACAUCAUCAGCGUGCAGCUGAGGCGGGGGUGCCGAGGUCGGCUACACAGUAUGCUAUGGAAACGGCCGAGGCCGAGCUCAGGGAUGAUGUCCGGGACACGGAUGAGCUCCGAUGAGAGACGAGGUGAGUCCACCUCGGCCACUCGGGAUGGCCGAGGUGAGCAUCCUCAGAUAUAUUGCAAGAUAUUAUAUGUAGGCAUACUUUACAAUUUUUUAUGAAAGUAUGACAAAAGGUUCAUCACAAAAAUACAAGCUUGGCAAAAUUAAGCAUACGAGUUUAAAUGUGAAUAGUAUGAGUACAUUUAAAAGUUGUGAAACUAAAAAUAUAGAUAAAAUUACUAAAAUUUCUGUGAUUACAUUACAUUCAUACUAAUUUUAACUCUUAUUUUUGCAUAUGAGAUAUUAAAUUUAUUACAAAUUUAUAACCUUAUUGAUUUUAUAUGUGUGUGUAAAUUUAUAAAAAUUAUGAUCUAUGCCUUUGCUUUUGUGUAUAUAAUUUGGAAAUGUAUGUCACUCCUCUUACUCAAAUUUUAAAAUUUUUUCAAAAUUUGAAGUAUAAUAAGUAAAAAGUUUGCUACCCGUUUAAUAUUGUUAGUUGAAACAAGAAUAUUUAUGCUAAAAAGAGUUUACCCUUUUCACAAUGCAAUUGUUUCCGUUUACAUUGACAAGUAACAAAAUUAACUUGUUAAAGACAAGUUGAUAAGGCACUUUACUUGUAAUUAAAAAGUCCGUGGUUCCAGUCGUCAAGGGAUAAGUGGGGAAUCAUGUUGAUCCUUUUAAAGAAAAAAAAAAGAGAAAAAGAAAAGACAAGUUGGCCAUUAGAAGGGAUUUGAAACUCCUCUUUGAGCUGCACGCCAAGGGUUUAGACCCGUGCUCGAUAGCCAUUCCUUCAUUCGAGUCAAGAGCCCACAUCAAAUGAAAGGUAUUGAAGAGUGAAGAGCACUAAUAAUUUCCAUGAUUUUGGAUUCUAGUUUGAGUUGCAAACAAGGCAUCUUCUUUUAAAACCAAGUCAUCGUCUAGCUUCUUCUUUUAAAUAUUCCAUUCUUUUGCUUUAGUUUGUUCUCUCCUUAAUUACGAUUAAUUUUCCUGCAAUUUCUCUCUUAUGAGUACAAUAUUUCCUCCUAUUCCAUCCUUAUUUUUCUCACAAGACCUUGACAAUUCUUCUGAAUAGAUGUUUUUGUAAUGAUUUUUACCAGGCAUAUGCCAUCGACAACUAUGUAAUUUACAAGGAUUUUUACAGAUAGUUUACCAACAACACUAUAGUUAGCGGUGAACUUAAAACCUAAUGCUUCCAAUACAAGUCCCAAAUCUUUACCAAUUUAGUCACAUGAGUAUGUGGAUAUUAUUUAUGAAUAUUAUCUUUCUCACAAAUGAGUGGCUUAUAUGAUGCCAUGUGUAGGUUUUAACCUGUCAUUACAGGUUUUAUUUGGGUACAUUAUUGCAGCUGUAAGUUUUUUGCAAAUAAUAGUAAAUUUGUUUUUUGUGUAAGUCGAGUAUGUUUUGCGAUUCAUGUAAAUUACCUUUAAAUAACAAAAGUUACUAAAAUUUUAACAUAACACUUUUUCUCCAAAACUUACCAUUUUCUAUAUAAAACUUACUACUUUUUUCAAUCAAAGCUUGUGACUAUUUUCACAAACCUUACCACUUUUAUACUAAUCUCACUACAUUAUUAAUCAAUCUUACGAACUUUCAGGCAAAACUAACAUUUUAUUUUAUACAAAAUUUACUAUUUUUUGUCAAGCACAACUUAUGAUUUCAUUAAAAAAAUCUUACUAAUUUUUGGUAAGUUUCUAACUAAACCUGACCAUUUUUUUUUUUCAAACUUUACUUCAUAAUUGACAAAAUUUACUGAUUUCAUAAUUUCUGUUAUUUACAUUUUAAAUAACGAUCUAAGUUUUUAAUUAAAACUUACUAAUUUUUUACCAAAACCUACUAUUUUGCUAAAUGUUAUAAAUGGCCAUUGGUAUAACUUACCAUAAUUUAGUAUAUUGUUAACAAAACUCACUACUAUUUUUUAACAAAACUAAGUUCAAGCAACUUUACGCAAAAGUCAAUACUAUUUUAAGCAAAAACUUGUAACUUCAUUAAAAAAAUCUUACCACAUUUUCUUUAGUAAAAAUUGUUGUUUCAUUGAUAUGACGUACUGCUGAAGCAUGUCAUAUGUGGUCAUUAGCUUGCUACUUUUCUGUAACCACCUGUUAUGACCAAUCGUCAAGUGAAUCUAUUAGUUUUGUAAGUUUACCAUCAAAAUUAGUUAGUUUUACUCUUGAAUCGAUAAAGUUCAGUAAUUAUAAAAGUUACCACAAUUUAAAAAAGAAAACAUACCAAAUAAAAUGUACCAGUUCUUAAGUAAUUUAAUUCUUUUAGUCAAACUUACAGCUUCUUCAACGACUUUUAGUACUUUUUGACAAAUAAAGUUUUGAGUAAAAUUUACUAUUAUGUUUAAUCGGUGACAUUCAAAUUUCCUUAAGCAGUUUUAGUACUUUUUAAAACAUAAUCUUACCUGCCAGAAACAUAUAUACUACUAGCAAAAAUUAUUUCUAUAUUCCAAAAAAAGAUUUUUCAUCAUCAGCUUAGUUAGUGACUAACUUUUCCAUCCGUGGGUUAUAUACUCACAUUCAUUUUCUCUUUGCAUUUGAAUACUUUUUUUUAAAAAUAAAUCUGCAUUUUCACAAACUACUAACUAUUCAUCUCUACUUAACCAAUGCUUUAAGUGUUCUCAUUAAACUAGCCCUUAGGUAUAUUAUUUUUCUCUAAAUAUUAUUAUUUUUUUGCAAAGUCUUUUUCUAUUAGAAAAUAUACCAUUUUCUUAGCAAAUUUACAUCUACACAGUAAAUUUAUAACUAAUGAAAAUUUAACAAUUUUCUUUGAACGAAGAAAGUUUUGCUUGGAAUGCAGUGAUUUUUCAAUGAAAUAGAUAAGUUUUGCUUAAAAAGGGUUAACAUAAAAAAAAUUCCCCUGAAAUUUUCUUUAACGUCACUUAGCAUCUAUUCUUUAUCUUUAAGUUUUUCAGCUCCAUUUGUUUGAUAUGGGAAUUAAGUCUCAAGUGAGGCUUAAUAUAUUCAUUUUGAUAUUAUGGAAAACUGCAAGGGAAGUUACUAAUAUUAUUCCUAAAAAAAUGUUAUAUGUUUUACUGUAAUUUAACAAAACUUUUAAAUCAAGUAUCAUUUUGUGUUGUAAAAUUAAAGUUGCAUAUUUCAUAAGAAACUUAAUAAACUUUUUGUGUUCUCUUAAGUUUUGCCACAAAAUUAGUAAAAUAUUUCAAUAAACAUACUAAUUUUGCUAAAUAUGUGGUUAGAUUUCUUAAUGAAAUCAUAAGUUCACUUGAAAUAGAAGUGAGUUUUGUGUAAAAAAAAAUGGUAAGUUACGCUUGAAAAUUAGUAAGGUUCGUUAAUAAUGCAGUAAGUUUAGUACUAAAAAAUUGUAAAAUUAGUUAGAAACAUACUAAAAAUUUUGCUAAAAAUGGAGUAAAGUUUGUUAAUUAAGUCAUAAGUUUUGCUUGAAGAAAUUAGUAAGUUAUGUAUAAAAAUAGUAAGUUUUGCUUGAAAGUUAGUAAGGUUUGAUGAUGAUGUCGUAAGUUUUACCAAAAAAGUAGAAAGAUUAGUCAAAUGAAGUCAUAAGUUUUGCUUUAAAAUAGUAAGUUUUGUAACAAGGAUAUUUUUAUCACUAGUUGAAUUCUUGCCUUGGUUUGCAAAGAUGCCUUAUAUUUGGUAAUUGUGGAACUUGGAAUGGAUUCAAUAAAAGUUUCAAAAAUAAUAAUUUCAAGGUCUGCAGGGAACAUGGUUGAAUUGAUUCCUGUUUCUUGUAAAGCAUAAAAAAAAUGAAAGAACAUAUUAAGUAUGUAUCACUCUUGUGCUUUAUUGCUUCUUUAGGACAAAACGAAAGCCCUCACUUAGGGCUGUCAACGGGUCGGGUCCGGGCCGGAAUUCAUUAUUCCGGACCCGGACCCGAAUUACUAUGCCGGAUCCGGAUCCGACCCGUUUACCCGACGGGUCUUUUAUUCUAUGUUCCGGAUCCGGAUCCGGGUCUACCCGAACAAAUUUACCAAAAUUUAUAAUUUCUAAUAAAAAUGAGAAAAAAAUAUAUUUGUAAACUAAUUUCUAACUAAUGCAAAGAAAAAACCAAAUAAGAAAAGAAAUCAAAUUAACUUUAUUAAAAUACAUCACCCUAAUCAAAUUAUAUUGAUAAAUAUAUAUUUUUUAAAUUAUUAAUUCAUUUAUAUCCGGAUCCGGGUCUAAUACGGGUCGGAAUACUAUAUUCCGUAUCCGACCCGUUUUUUUGUUUGACAAAACGGAUCCGGAUCCGGAUCCGGGAAACGGAAUUAAAUCCCUACCCAUACCCACAUUAAUUUCACGGAUCCGAUCGGGAUCCGGGUCUAGACCCGACCCGUUGACAGGCCUACCCUCACUAGCUUUUAUUUCAUUAAAGGGCUAAAACAGUUUUCGCUUAUAGUACAUCAUUUUCUUGCCACCUCUAUUUGUGCAAAAGAUGGAAAAUAUCUGUUUAAAAUUCAAAAAGACUCUUAUAUUACGUAUUAUUAACAAAUAUUUUGAAAUUUAUAACAAAUUUUCAUAAUUUGUAUUCAGAUAAAGAUGUAACCUGUGAGUUAUGCAAAAAAUAACAAAGCCUUAUAUCAUACUUUUUUCAAAUAAUGAACAUAAUAUCAACAAUUUGAUAAAAUGAAUAUCUUGUAGCAAAAGAUACAACUCAGUUUUUGUAUCAUACAAGCAUAACCUAAUGUUAGAAAGAAUUAAUUUUUUUUUUUUGAAAUUCUAGUAAGGGAGAAGUGGAAAGGGAGGAAGGAGGAUUGAAAUUCAGGACUUCUAAUUCCUAGAGUCUCAACCUUAACUACUAGAUUAAGAUCUCUUUGGUUAGAAAUACAAAUUAAGCCCAAUAUUAAUGCAACCUAACAUAUAAAAGUCAUGGUAGACAGUCGUAUUUUUAAUUUUAUAACUUUCAAGCAUGUUUGUACUAUUCAUGGAUAACUUUUUAAGCGUAACAUUGUAAAACUUGUAUGCUUCAACUGAAUCUUGUACUUUACAUUUUGAAGAGUAAUUUCUGUACAUAAAACGGUUUGUAUUAUUCUCAUACCUUAUCUUAGUAAUGGUUUUUUUUUUUUCAGAAAAUCUUUUGGAAGUUUUCUUUCCGCAAUGAAUCAUGAAAAGUUGAUUGAGUUAUAAUUCAUGACAUUGUCUUGGUUCAGAAACUUGAAAUGAGAAACAAAAAAGAAAAAUUAACAGGCCGUGAAAAGAAAAUGAGAAGUGAAAUAGGGACACUAAUUUUGGUUUGUUGGGUGGUGGGCCAAGGGGUGAAGGUAGUUUUGAGUUAGGGUGCGGAUAUCAUUUAUGAAUAUUAUAUCUGUUCAUCAAAGCUCAUUAGAAACUUUCUUGUUCAUCACUUGGAAAAAAUGUUGGGGGCCUUCCCAUUUUUCGUUUUUCAAACAUCAACAGAAACAUAGGUUUGUGAUUUUCAAAACAAAGGGGAUUAUGACACUACCUAAAAUUCUUUUCUAUUUCAGAAAAGGAUGAUAGGUAGUAUCAUAAUUCCUUUAGUUCUGAAAAGCACAAUCACAAAUGUGAAUUUGAUUUUUUAUCCUCCGACACCGUAACAGUUGAGAUCUUUUUUUCUUUUUUUUUUUUUCAAGCAUAAACUUGAGAUCUUAAAGAAGCACGCAAAUGUCUUAUAAAAUCAAAAUUCCAAAAGUUUAGGAUAAUAAUACAAUGAUAAUGUUAGAAUACUCCAGAAUUCCACUAUACUAUCUUUUUCGUAUCGAUUGACCCACUAAAUUUUUAAAACUAAUUAAUUGAACCAUUCCGUCUAGAUAGUGGUUAAAAAAUAUGAAACUUUCGGAAUUAAUGGGGAACUUUCGUCACUUUGUUAAUGAAAAAUAGUAUGGCGGAUUAAAUGGGAGUUUAGUAAAAUUAAGUGAAUCUUGAUACAAUUUGUUGAAAAACUUCUUGGAAACUAAAGAAGAAUGGAAUAAAGAAAUGCCGUAGAAAAUGUUUAACACAACUACUGCUGACAUUCUCAAAUCUUUUGAGCUAGUAUCAGAGAUUCAGAGAUACUUUAGUCAGAUGACCAUAAGAUCAAACGUUCGGCUAUCAAGUCCUUCAUUUUUUCCUUUCCCAUUGUAAGGCUGAAGUCUCCCAUUCAAAGGAAAAAAAAAACUGUAACUUAAGCUUUCUUUAGUUGACAUGAUGUAUCGUUAUAAAAUAGUAACCCAAAAUUUCAGUAGCUAAAAAUAGCCAUGCAAUCACACACACAAGGCAUGUAAAAAAUCUUCAGUUCUUCGUUUAUUCCCUGUUUGGAUUGCCAUUUUCUGCCAGAAAAUUGCGUCAUUUUCCGUGAUCACAUUUUCCUAUUACCUUUUUCCCUCACAUACAUCAAAUCGCUACAAUAAUUUUUUCAUGAAAAAUGACGGAAAAUACAAUCCAAACGGGAGUUUUGCAAGAUGGCGCAGUAGCUAUUCCUUCAUGCGGUUGAAGUGCCUACAAUCAAUUGGAAGUUGCUGAAAAGUGAUAAAACCUUCCUAAUAUAAUUUCCAGGAUUUUGCAUUUUAGCUUCAGUCGAAGCCUAGGCAUCUUCUUUCAAAAUAAGUCAUCGUUUGGCUUUUUCUUUAUAAGCUUCCAUCCUUUUGCUUUAGUUUGCUCUCUUUUUUAAAGAUUGACAACAUAUGUCAUCAAAAAGGACCCUAAAACCGAAGCGAACCAGGACCUUGCCAUGUGCCACUCCGACAACCAAUGGAUGAUAUCCACAUUCUUAGGUCCACCACGUUGACUAAUUGUUCUACCAUCCAACCAGGAAAGUCACGGCCGAUUUCACUCCGCUUUCUUAUCAAUAACGGUACUGCUCCUACUUUCUCCUCUAUAUGAUACUCCAUCUUCCUAGCUAAAAGCCUUGCACAUACUGCAUUGUUUUAAUUUUGAUUCAAAUUAUCAUCUUCCUCGCCCGUGUUCUCUUUUUCAUCAAACUUGGAUUUGACAGGGUAGGUUCACGAUAAACAGGUACUUUUCCCAUAUUCAUCAGAUCAGCUAUUGCCAGAGUAAGUGCUGAGAUUUGUUUACUUUUCUUGAAGUUCCAGGCUUUUUUUUUUCCUUUUUUAUAAACAUAGCCUCACCAUAUAAGGGGAUUUCUGCAGAUUCAACGGAUCAACUGUUGCCGGAGUAUUCAUUCUCUCCAAAGUGAGAGCUGAAUUUCUUUUUCUUUUUUUUUUAAUACACAUUUUAUGGUUGAAAUAUAAAUGGCUUCCAUGUGUUUAUGACAUUCAUUCUACUAGCAUACUUUUAUAUGUUGGCGACUAGCUUCCAGGGCUUAGGGUAAAACACUCAAAAUUGUACAGUGCAAAUGUGCAAUAUGCAUCCCAUGUUCAAAGCUCUAUUACAAGACAACCCUGAAAGGUCAUACAGUUAUUUUUUCAUUCUACUUUAUUAUGCCAUUGCGUGGAAAAAUUCUAAUCUAUAGGUCCACCACAUUCAAUAAUUGUACUGCUACAAGGCUAGGAAACUCAUGACCAAUUUAACAGAUCUACUUUCUUUUCAACAACAAUACUACUCCUUUCUCCUCAAUAAUAGAUCGUCUCCAUUGCCAAAAAGCCUUGCAUAUACGAACAGUUUCUACAUUUUUUUAUUAAACUUUACUUUUGAGUAAUUAAGUAGCUUCACGAUAUACUAGCAAUUGUCCCAAAUUCAACAGAUCAGCUACUCCCAGUGGUUUCUCUCUUUCUUUUAUUUUACUCUCAAGUACUUAAUUUUGUUUUUUUCUCUCAAAUUUAAAGGAAUUUUAAGGUUGUGUUUGGAUUGCAUUUUUCGUCAUUUUUCAUGGAAAAAUUACUGUAGCGAUUUGAUAUAUGUGAGGGAAAAAGGUGAUAGGGAAAUGUGAUCACGGAAACGACAAUAUUUUCCGACGGAAACAAGCAAUCCAAGCAAGGCCAUUUUUCUAUUUCUUUUUCGAUGUAGCCUCGCCAUUAUAAAGGGAAUUUCUGCAAAUUCAACAGAUCAGCUUUUGGCAGAGUGUUUAUUCUCUCCAAAGUAAGUGCUGAAUUUCUUUUUUUUAUUAUUAUUAUGCACAUUUUUGGUUGAAAAUGUUAGAAUACCUCAAAAUUUCACUGUACUAUCUUUUUCGUAUCGAUUGAUCCACUAAAAUGAAGUAGGAACCUAGAACCAAAGUGAAGUAGGACCUUGCUAGGAAGUCAUGGUUUUGCUCUGUCGAUAAAAAAUUUUGCACCGCAUACUAGUUGAGCCAAAACUGAUGGGGACUCGAAGCCAAGUAAAAUUGCUAUUUUAUAAAAGGAUCAUAAUUGUAUAAUUACCCUUGUAAAUUUGAAAAUCAAAUACACAAUAAUGUAAAGUCAAAUUUUUACUAUGUCACCUUUUUUGUUUUAUACUUUCUCCCUUCUCUGCACGCUUUUUGUUACUGUCUUACCUUGUAACAUUUAAAAUUUGAAAAAUCUGCCUGAAUGUCUAUCACAACUAAAAGAGGAUGGUACUGGUUAGUAAAAAAAGUAAAAAUCAAAUCGCAAGUAACUUAUCAGUUAUGACUUUCAAUUCUUUAGUUGGCCUGAUUUAAAAUUGUAAAUCAUCGUGGCACAUUAACAAAAAAUUACACAAAUUACAGUAGUUAAAACACACACACACACACAAAAAGGCAUAUACUACACUUUUUCGUCCAUCAUUUAUUUACUUUUGCAAGAGACCCCACGGACAGCAAAGUCUUUCUAAUAGUUUCCACGAAUUUGCAUUUUAGCUUCAUUUGCGGACAGGGCACCUUCGUCUUUCAAAAUCAAGUCGUUGUCUCGCUUCUUCUUUUUAAUUUCCAUCCUUUUGCUUUCUGGUGUUCUUUCCUUCUUGACAACUAAUACUUCAUUUUCCUAUAGUUUCUUUCUUCUGAGGAUCCACUAUCGUGGAUCAUGAGUGAAAAAGGAACAUAAUAUCACUAUAAGCAGAAGAGUACAAAAGAGAGAGAGAGAGAACGAGACCCUAUAAAAUAAUUCCAAGGUCCAAAUGUAUCUAAAACUAAAAACACUUGAGAUCUUUUUUUUUUUUUUUGGAAGCAUAACACUCCAGAUUUUAAAGAAGCACACAAAUGUCUUAUAAAAUCAAAAUUCCUAAAGUUUAGGAUAGUGAUACAAUGAUAAUGUUAGAAUACUUCAGACUUUUGCUAUAUUAUCUUUUUCGAAUGAAUUGACCUACUUCCCCAUCCUCGCCCCGCCCCACUUCCCCUGCGAGUGCCCCCAGGGGCUAAUAAAAAUUUGUUAUAUAAUUUUAUUAUGGUUAAAUUUUAGCAAAUAAUCAAGUACUAAAAUAUCAAUACAUUACCAAAUUAUUAUUCAUUGUAAUUUCAUAAUUGAAACUUAUAAAAACAAUCAAACAAAAGUUAUUUGAAUACAAUCCAACAUAAUGAAAUAAAUACAACUAAAGUAGUUAAGUUUUCACUUUUGACACAAAUACAAUCACUAAUUCAUUAUUGUGCUUAUACUUUUUUUUAGAAAAAAAUGUUAUUGUAUUAAGUGUAAUUAGGAAUUUAGUAUAAAUGUAUUAGUAAAUUUAGUAUAACCAAUUAAUAAUUUGUAUUAGUACAUAUAUAUAAUUAUUAGUAUAAUUAAUAAUAUCAAUUAUAUUACAUAUACUAAUAUACAUUAUAUAAUACAUAUAACUAAUAAUAUCAUUAUCAUAACUGUGUAACUAAUUAAAUUAUAUAUUAUAUAUAAUCGUAUAUUUAUUUAUUUAUUUAUUUUAUAUAUUUAAUUUUUUAAAGCGGGUGACGGAGCAGGGGGGAAAAUAUUCCCCCCGUCCCAUUAGCCUCCCGCGGCACAGCCACCCGCCCCCAUUGCCAUCCUUACAUAUAUAAAUAUAAACAAUCUUCCUCUUGCAAGAUGGUGCAAUGGCUGCUCCUUUAUCCGUUCGAAGAACCCACAGUCAAUUAAAUAUCCCUGAAGAGUGAAGACUCCACUGACUAAAAAAGUCUUCAUGAUAAUUUCCUCAUUUUUGCAUUUUAGGCAGCUUCUUUUGUCGGUAAGGCAGCUUCGUCUUUCAUAAUCAAAUCGCUGUUUGGCCUUUUUCUUUAAAUUUCCAUCCUAUUGCUUUAGUUUUUUUCUUCCUUUUUGGACGAUUAUGGCUUCAUUUUCCCACCGAUUUCUUUCUUCUGAUUAGUGAUUACGAUAUACAUUUUCUAGCAUUUCAUCCUUAACUUUUUCACACGAUUUUGACAAUUCUUCUGUAGUAACAGGAUCAAGAUGACAAACCCUUACAAAAGAAUUAAAGAAUAUGAUGGUUUUAGUUGUUGUAGGAUUCAAGUAGCUCGAGUAAUUGACAUCCAAGUUAUGACUAGCAACAAAUUUCACCGGUAAAUUUUAAAUAUUUAACUAAGGUAACUGUUUUGAUAUAAAAAGGCAAUAACAGCAAAAGCCAAUAAAAGAAUUCCUUUUAUUUUUUUUUAGUUGGGAUUGCAUGGAUAGAAUAUUACUUAGAAAAACUUUUGUAUAAUUCAUUGUAGCAUGUUUUGUAGUAUAAUGUAUUUAAGAUAAAUAAGUAAUUGUAAAACAUGUUUAAGAGCAAUUAAAAAAAUAAAUAUUCUUUUAGAGUCAUCACAAUGAUACGUAACACAACUGUCCCACAAAUUAGACAAUCAUUGCAUGAGUAAAUCAGUAAAGGACAGAUUCACAUGUGAAUAUUGUCUGGAAGUCUGCAAGUUUAGCCCCACACCUUUUAUAUUAACAGAUCUGAACGCGGUUUGAUUUGUUGACCAAUAGUAUUGAAUCGCACAUUAUUAAAGUUCAUCAUAUUACGAACCGAUGACCAACUCUAAUUUCUUCCUUUUCUGUACAAGGUCAAGGAGCCUCUGUUCCUUUCCUGAUAUUCUCAAGUUAAAGAAAAGGACUGAAAAUGGCAGAAACAGUUCUCUCUUUUGUGUUAGAUCAGCUCUCAAUUUUUCUGCGUGAAGAGGGCAGAUUAUUGGGAGGGCUUCGCCAAGAGGUUCAACUCAUCAGCGAUGAGUUGGGGCACAUGAGAGCUUUCGUGGGAGUGGCAGAAACAAUAGAAGAAGGUGCUGAUCCCAGGCUCCAAGAAUGGAUCAAGCAAGUACGAGAAGCCGCUUAUGACACCGAAGAUGUUCUUGAUGAAUUCGUAGCUUGCUUUGCUCACCAUCAUGCAACAGGGUUCUAUGGCUCUGUUAGGAAAAUUUUCAACUCCAUAAAGACUUUGCGAGCUCGUCGUAAGGUUGCUGUGCAAAUACAAAGCAUCAAGGCCAGAGUAAAGAAUAUAUCUGAAGGGCAUCAGAGAUACCAAUCAGAAUUCGGCGGUACUACCCAAGCGGCCGAGUCUCUCGCUGCUGUUAACAACACAACAUGGCGCUAUAGCAGGGAUGAUGCACUUCUCGUGGAAGAAGCUGAACUAGUUGGCAUUGACCACCCCAAACAACAGCUAAUUUCUCAACUACUCGAGAGGGAUGAUUCCCAGCUCAAAGUUGUUUCUGUGGUUGGCAUGGGAGGACUCGGUAAAACUACCUUAGUCAAAAAAGUCCACGAAGAUUAGCUAUUAGAAGGCAUUUCCCAGUUCGUGCCUUUGUAACUGUCUCUCAACCAUGCAACUUCCUGGAGCUCCUGAAAGACUUGACUCGGCAGUUACACAAUGAAUUGAAGAAACCAGUUCCAGAAUCGAUUGAGGCAAUGACUGCAUAUCAGCUGAAACUAUGUGUUAAAGAUUUUCUUCAACAACCUGUAAGGUAUGCAAUUGUGUUUGAUGAUGUAUGGGAUGUAGAAUUCUGGAAUGAGAUUAGAUUUGCACUGCCCGAAAAUGGCUAUGGCAAUCGCGUCAUGCUAACAACACGAAAAACCGAUGUAGCCUCUGCAUCUUGCAACAAAUCUCAAGAUUAUGUCUUCAAAAUGGCGCCCCUGUCUUUCGAGGAUUCAUGGACCCUAUUUUGCAGCAAGAUCUUCAAGGAAAAUGGUUGUCCUGCCCAUCUAAUAGAUGUUGCAAAAGGUAUACUGGGGAAAUGUGAGGGAUUGCCCCUUGCGGUUCUUGCAAUCAGUGGGCUUUUGGCUUUGAAAGACUUGAAUAUUGCAGAGGAAUGGGAGAUGGUUCGACGCAGCCUUGGGGGUGAAUUAGAAGGCUGUGGUAUGCUGGACAGGGUAAAAAAGAUACUUUCUCUCAGUUACAAUGAUCUACCCUGCCAUCUUAAGACCUGUUUGUUGUAUUUAAGCAUUUACCCAGAGGAUUUUGAAAUACGUUGUGGUAGACUUGUUCAAUUAUGGUCAGCUGAAAGAUUUGUAGGUAAGAAAGAAGGAAUGACUGUGGAAGAUGUAGGCUACAAUUACCUCAGAGAACUGGUCAAUAGGAGCCUAAUUCAAGUGACCCAAAUUUUUUAUGAAGGAAUCCCCUACGCUUGUCGAAUCCAUGAUCUAGUGCGAGAAAUUGUUCUUUCCAAGGCAAGGGAACAAAAUAUGAUCGCAAUUACUACUGGACAAUACACAAAGUGGUUGUAUGAGAAGGUACGCCGUUUGGUAGUCCAUAGUAGCAGCAACAACACCGAGCAGCACCAAGAAAGCCAAUGUUAUAGCUUUAACCACCUUCGAUCCUUCAUUACGAUUGAAUCCAUGAAUCCACUGGUAUCCAGAACCUUGUUAUCAGAAGUUUUAAAGAGUGGCAGAUUGUUAAAGGUUUUGGAUUUGUGUGAUGAAAAGACAUUGGAGGAACUCCCAAAUGAGAUUUUCAACUUGUUUCGUCUCAGGCAUCUGAACCUAUGUAGGACAGGGGUUAAAGCAGUCCCGAAAUUCAUAGGAAAGCUGCGAAAGUUGGAGUAUUUGAAUUUGGGUGAAACUCAAGUCAAGGAAUUACCCGUGGAAAUCCUGAAGCUACAAAAGCUUGAGCAUCUUAUAGCAUACAAAAAAGUUGAUUCUUCUGAUUACAGUCAAGGAUAUCAUGGGUUUAAAGCUCCAUCAAAAUUGGGAGGGCUUCUUGCCUUACAAACAUUAGAUACCAUAGAUGCCAGUAGCGGAUCCGUAGUAGUUAAAGGGAUAGGGAAAUUGACUCAAUUAAGACGAUUACAGAUUUCAAAUCUGAGAAGAGAAGAUGGAAAGGAGCUCUGCUCCUCCCUCGCCACCCUCACUAGACUUUGGGAAUUAAACAUUGCUUCAAUUAGAAAUGAUGAUGCUGAUUAUGAGGUAAUGGAUCUGAAUUAUCAUGAUCAACAACAACAUUCUCAUUCAUCUUCAAUGCCUUCAACAACAUUUCUCCAAUCUCUUCGUAUGCUAAUAUUGUAUGGCCGCUUAGAAAAGAUGCCGCAAUGGAUAGCUCAUCUUGAAAGCUUGGUAAGAAUAGCUUUGUGCUGGAGCCGUUUAAGGGUUGAAGAGGAUCCGCUUGCACCCCUCCACCAUUUGCCAAAUUUGGUAACUAUUCAAUUUAUUGGAUCUUACCAAGGAGAGGGGUUGUGUUUCAAGGCUGGAGGAUUCCCGAAGUUAAAGGAUUUGUGCCUAGAGAAAUUAGAGAAGUUAAAAUGGCUGAAAGUGGAGGACGGUGCAUUACCCAAUCUCCAAGAACUGUAUCUGGAUACACUUCCAUUGCUAGAGGAGUUGCCUUUGGGAAUUCAGCACUCAAGGAAUCUUCGAAAGCUGUAUUUGUCUGAGUUGAGUUCUCAACUGAUGGAGAAGCUAGAGAAUCUAAAUGAAGAGACUGAAGAUUAUAGAAAAAUUGCACACAUUUCUGAAGUUGUCACUGUAUUGUGGACAGAUGAGGAGGGAUGGAGACUGCACCGGCUGUGGGGGAAGAAGAUGUAAAUAUUUCCUUCCUAUUUCUUUUCGUUUGUUUUUUGUCCGUUUGUUUGUAACUUCUGAGUUUAUAAUUUGCUUUAUCUUUUAUCUUAUUGUAUAAAUAUUGUAUUGCAUAAUCUUGUUUAAUUUUUUCUUUAAUUGAUUUAGCAAAUAAUUUAGAGGUUGCAGGUUAGAAGCGCCUUAGCAUCAUGCACACAAUUUCAAUAUACAAUCUAAAACAAUAGCCUAAAAUUUUGGUACAAAAUUAAAACAUGAAGCCUAUGUUUAUACGCUGGUAUGACUUAGAGAUUGAUUUCUCUAGUAGUUAAUAAUAUAGUAAUUUUUUGACAAAUAAUGGUUGUAUCAGUCCUUUAUGCUCAUCCAUCUGUCCUUUUGGACAAAUUAAUAUUCUCAAGUAAAUUAUUUUCAAUCAUGCCCACUUGUUACGUAUGAAUUAAUAUUAUGUCAAAGAUAUGACAAAUCCACUUAUUACAGUCAUGAAAACAAUUUCUUUUUCCAUGAAUUGAUAAUCGAAUGUUCGCACUAUAAUGCCCAAUCCACCAAGGUUCAUUUUUAAACCAAAAAUAUUGAAGUUGCUAAAAUUGAGAACUUCUACAUCACACAGAAGUAUUUGUUGAUGAAUGCAGUCAUACUCAUAGUCAAUAUUUGUAAGGCAACACAGAAGUAUAAAAAAGCAAAUAAUAGUGCUUUGUUUGGAAAGCAAUUUUUCUCCAAAAAAAAUUUUAAGUUUUUUGUGAAUAUAUUUUUGAAUCACCUUUUUAUCACACAUGCAUUAAAUCAUUACAACGCAUUUUUAUAUAAAUAUUCUAGAAAAUAACAAUCCAAAUGAGACUUUUAGUGUCCUUAAAACACAAAUACUUCUCGACAAAUACCAUGGCGUUAUAUAACAAACUAACGUGUUGGAAGUGGAAGAGUCCUUGAACAACACAGAGAAAUAGGAAAGCUCAGGUCUAGUAACUAUGGCCUCGGAUUAAUAAUUUUGAAGUUUCAGGAAAGAAUUGAGAGUACUCUAGAAACAUAAAGGCUCAAACCUUGUGCGGCUAUUCUUUGCUUGGUCCUAAAUCAAUUCAUUCAAUAGAUGCAAUUCGUGCCAGUGAUUAGUGGUGCAACUGAUGGACAAGAAAUCUAUGAUCUAAUAGAGCUCAAAUUACUUCAAUUACUGAAGGCCUGUUUAAACUUUCAUGCAGCUUUUGAUGAAAAGCCAUAAAAAAGUCUUUUUCCACGCCGCAAAAGACAUACACCUAAAGGAAAAGAUUACAAGACAUGACAAAGCAUAUCAGAUGAUGCUAAUAGGAGAUUUAGCCCCUCCCUGCAAACUAUGCACAAGGCUACCACUUAAAUCACAGUAUCACCAAAUAGAAAGCUAAAUGUUGACGUACCAUUUGAAGAAGCAUCUGUGUGUGUGUGCAGAACUCUAGAGAGAGUGUCUGAGAUUUAUAUUUUACAAUUCAUGUAACUUGUAACGAUGCCUACAACUAUCAAAAUUAUGUAUUUAUAUCAUAUCUAACCAAAUUCCUUGCAUCCUAUGCAUCAUAGGAUGCUUUUCCCUGCAAAUUCCUAGAAAGUUCUAUGCAAACGUAGGAUGCUUUUCCAUGCAACACUUUCCGAGGAAAAUUCUAUGCAAACAACUCAAAGGGAAGAAAGUCAACCCAAUACCAGGAAGGAUUCACACGAUUCAGAUAUUGCCGCAUCAUGGAUCUGAUUCAUGUGUCUCUAUCCUUCAAAUUGACUAAACCAGUCUGUAAUUGUUCUUGUGAGGACUCUAGUGUCAUUCAAAGAAAUUGUCUUGAGGCCUUGAGCAACAGCAUCUACAGGCGAGUAUAUAUCGCCCACUUGCCAUCUAGGUUCCUGAUCGCCCAACAAAACAAAUUUCAGCAUAAAUGGAGAAUAAAAAGAAGGAAUUUAGUUAGAGCACAAUAGUUGACCAUGCCAUUGUUCUGAUUACCGUGCUACUUCCCAAUUUUUUAUCAAAAGUAACUUAAAGAUCAUGCUAAGUAAUACAUACACAGUUAGCAUAACAAACAAGGCGCAGCGCAACAUGUCAGCAUAAAUUCCCAGAAAGCAAAGGUCUAAAGAUUUUGAUACAAAAGGAGCACAAAGUUACUGCAGCAUACCUGUAUGCAAGGUGUAAUAUGAGUUCCAUUCAAUAUUAUUUUCUGUAGUUUUCCACCAAUAGAUUCCACUCGAGGCUUCAGUGUCUCUUCAAGGAGAUCAGUCUGAUCAAUUGCAUCAACAUUGAACUUGACCUGAAAAAAGAAUCAGAUAGACUUAAAAGUGAACAUUGAAGUUGCAGCAAUUCAAUCAAUUCUGGUACUUGAAUAACAUGUUCAAACCAGUAAUGUAUGCUGAACAUUGUAUGACUUCUGGAAACAGUCAAGAUUCUCAAAGGGCGUUGGCCUGAACUCCGAAAUUCCUUCAGCAAGCUGAAGUAACAUCCAUUUGAGGCAGUUUGAUUAUUAGAGAAUGACCAGAAGACAGAAAGAGCGACAAAGACAUUUCACCAUUUGACAGAAAAAUGAUGGAGAUAUAGACAUGUUCAGCCACAAAGGUGGCAGGAUUUGUUUUCCAGGUUGGAUAGACAUCAUCAUGUAAGUGGGGUGUCACCUGAUUAAAAACAGCUGGCAACUGAUCAACAAACUUGUUGACUGACACUACCACUUCUGGAUCAAAAUCUGGAAUCAUGGUUCCAGCAGUAUCAAGUAGUACUUUCCAUGCAUCGGCUGUAUAUUAGUAUCAAUGACAGGAGAAGGCAUUAGAAUCAGAAAGAUGACAUAAGCAAUUAUUCAACCUCAUCAGCCAUUUGUCUUCAAUCAAAUGAAGCAUUGUACCAUACCUAUGAAAAAAAUCCAAAUUUGAUUUUAAAACCAGUACCAGGAUAUUUUCAUUACUACUUGAAGGCUUGCCUUGGUUUACAGAGAUACCUUAUAUUUGGUAAUUGUGAAACUUGGGGAGGAUUUAAUAAAAGUUUCAAAAAUAAUAAUUUCAAAACUUGGUAAUUGUCACUCUUGUGCUCUAUUGCUUCUUCAUGAAUAAUAAAGUACACGAAAUAUAACCUAACAUUGUUUGCAAGUAAAUAUCUCUGUAUUCCCUAAGACCCUAAAAAUAAUAUUCUACUCCCUCGACACAAAAUAGAAGACCGAUGUUUUAGAUGAUCUAAAGCCUGACAUCAAAACACUUCAUGCAUUAAGUUUCUCUUCUUGGUUCAGGAAAAUAAUGUUUAGGCCACACAAGGAAUUAACUGUUAGUAAACAUUUGCAAAAUUAAGAAAAAGAAACCAAAUGCAAAAGUACAAAUUCAAUUAUAGUUAUUCAUUUUCUUUUUCUAAUUUCUAAUUAUUAAGUUUUGUACAAACCGAAAAAAUUAUUUUUGUUGUUACUGCUACACUUGCUAUCUACAAUGAAAAUGCACGUAUUAACAUUUGAAAGUUGCAAUGAAGUACACUCUCUGCAAAAUGUCAAAUAACGUCUCCUUUUUUUUAGUGUAAGUGGGAGGGCUUGAACCUGGGAUCUCUCACUUACUCUCCCCCCCCCCCCCCCCAAAAAAUAAAAUAAAAUAAUGUCCCAUUUUCUGUUUAAUGCAGAUAUUGUUGAGGCCUCUUUCAAAGCAUUAAAAUGGAAUCAGGACCAAAGAGCACUUGUAUGCCUGGGUAAUCUUGCGUAUGUUUCAAGGCCUCAGAAAAUAACAUUUGCACGAAGAUUCUCUUUUAGCAUAUCUAUAAGGAAAUCAAGGGUAGAGACACUUCAGCAAACUAUAGUUCCAAAUAAUUGGUCUUCAGGAAUCCAAAGAGUUGCACAGGACAGGGAAUUAGUAUAAGAUUAAAUCAAAGUGGUGGUACCUAUUCAACUUUUGUCCAAUACGGUAGAUGUACUCAUCCUCCAUUACAUUAACAGAAGGUUCGUUUUCCAAAUAGAAGAGAAAAUGAAAAAGGUAAAUAAACAUUGGCAAGAAUGUCACAACAGUCAGACGAACUACUCAAUUAAGUGCAGAUAGAAAACUACGCAACCAUGUUGAGUGCAGAUCGUCAAUCUGUGGAUAAUAAAGUUGGUACCUACAACUAGAAGCUUUGAUUUGGCUACAAAUUCAUGAUAUCCACACAUUAGUAGCUCCACAAGUAUUUGUGUCGACACAAAUUGUAGGAUACAAUUUCUACAGCAUGCCUUGCUAGUUUCUGAAAAGCCUAAGACCUACCCCUCAUUCUUGAGCUAUCUAUGACCGUCAAUAGAGUUCUUCUAUAUAAACCACCUCAUAGGUAACCAGUUUUCCACUCUGUUGUUUAACACCCUUAUACAGAACUUAACCCUAAAAAGUUAGACUAACUCAAAGAAAAUAGUUCUACACUAUCACUGCAAUUUACAAUAGAUAAAUAAAACAGAACAGGAACAUUCUCUACCACCCCAUCCCUUCUUGCACUCCACCAAUACUCAUCAGUCUACAACACAAAUUCCUCCACCUCACCCAAACUACAAGUUAGAUCAUGGGAAGGUGAGAGCAAAAAUGACCUUCAAGAGUCCAAACAAAGCCACGCUGUUUCUCAUCAAAGCUAAUGUCAAUGGUGAUUAUAUUAACAACAGAGGGAUUGAUUUGGCAAUUUCUCAGUAGCCCGCUUUUGUAAAGAGCAUACAAUUAAUCCUGGGAUUCAAAAGAUUCUAUUAGACUAACGCAGCAUUGAUGUAUGAGUAGCUAAAGCAACAUAACUAAUGAUGUUUAAUUUUAAAGAAGUAUCAAGAAAAUUAAGAAACCUUUCACUGUGAUCAACCUGAGGCAUUUCGAGUGAAUGAAUAUACUGGAGACGCUUCCAUAAUUGGAAAUAUUUGACUGACAAGAGGUCCUAACUGCAUCAUAGCAUAAUACAACUUCAAAAAUGAGGAAUGUUACAAAAGCAAUAGUAGUUCUUUGAGAGGCAGUAGACAAAAUUUGACACGGAUUCUAAAGCAAGGGCUAAGAAAACUGGAGCCCUACCAAUUGAACGAGUAUAGUAACAACUCAUCAUAUAAGCAUAUUUACAAUCAACUCCGCCUUGGUAUAUAAGAUUUAAAAUGAAAUUAAGGUUCAAAAACAUAUGACAAAAUUGAUCCACCAAAUCUCAAGGUAUAAUAUUUAUGCAAUAUCAAAAUAUAAAUUAAACAAACUAGAUAAAUGUUUAGAUCCAAAUUUCCAUAUAAUCCUCAAUGUUGAUUGGCUCCAGUUAAACCAUCACCAAGAUCAUGGAUAUGUUAACUAUAAUGUUGUUUACGUCGAUUCCCUUUUAUACUGAACUAAUUUGUAUUCUUGAAUGAAUGGAAGACUGAUAUGACUUCACCCUUUGGAUGACUACUAAUUGGUGAACAGUUCAGUAUAAGGACAAAAUUACAACAAUCACAAAUGAACAAAAGUGCAUUAGUUGCUGUAGAAGCCAUCAGCAAGCAGAAGCAUAGAUGCUAAUACUCAAAGCAGAAAGAUCUAGAAAUGAAGUGCAAAGUCAGUAAUAUGUACAGACAUACCAUUUCCACAAAUAUAUGCAAUCUACUAUGGAUACUCUUUUAAUUUUUAAACUGCAUAUUACACUUUCUACUUCACAUUUUUUUCCCUUGAUUUUCUGAGUUGCUACCUUCAGUUACCAUUUGUCCUGUUUCACUCAUAUGUUUACCCAUUUUCUUGCUCCCUGUAAUGUCACCAAUUAUUUCCUUUCCAAAAAAAAAUCUUCACUUUACAUCAACUUCAUGGCAUAGCUGAAGCAAUAUAAGUUAUUUACAAUCCAUCCAUUAUAUGAGCAUAUCCUAUCUGAAAUAUUAUAAAAAAUUUUCUUUGUUAAUUGACAGUCAUAGUACGACAUUGAUGUGAUGGCACAUUUACAUUCCUUUAUGCAUUAGCUUUUUCAUGUUUGUUUUAACAUUUUACAUCUUAUACAUAUUCCAAUGUAAAGGGCAUAGCAUGACAAUUAAGGAGAUUUUGAGGAUGAUAGGAAUGUGAUCCGACACAAUGGGUCAUGUAUACAUCUUUUGACAACUAAGAUGUUAUUAUCCAUAGGAUUAUUGAAGGAUUAGUAGAAUUGCACUUGAAAAAGGUAAUAAACUCAUGCCAUGGCAUGAUAAUGAAAGCAAUCUUAGUAGCUAAAGAGCCCUUCAUCCACCAAGUAUGCUCUCAGAAAUGGCAGCAGCUGGAUAAAUGUCAAAUAUCUACAGGACAUGACUUUUACAUCACUGGUGGGGGAGGGCUUAGAGUGCAACGCUUCACCAGCAUCUACACUCACAAAUCGUAGAGUUCCCUGUUCAUGAACUCAGACAAACUACAUCAGUCAGUUGCAUCGCUAUCAUAGAUCCUCAAUAGAAACCACGACUCUUUUAAAUUUACCCUAUAUAUUGGUUUGAAGAUUCAGAGAGGCAAUGAAAGAAUAGGCUAUUUGCCUGGUGAAAUUUGAGCUGAAAUUAGAUUUAAGAAGUAGAGGUUAAAUAGAGAUUAGGAGAGGUAAAGGGCAAAAGAAAGGAAGGAAGGAAGGAAAGAUGACUACUAAGACUUCACAGGUAAGAGACUAAGAGGGGUUUCGUUCUGAAACUUUCUUGAUUCAAACUCACUCUCAUUUACAAAAACUAAUGCAAGCUAUUCAAAGAGUCUAACACAGCAACCUAAAAGCUUUCUCUUGUAAAAAAAAGCAGCCAUUCAAGAGUAGAGUCUGUGGCAAUUGUUGUCCACUACAAUAGUAGCUAUGUAGGAUGACCAUUGAACUCCCAACCAUGGGGGUUCUUUGAAAGUCCACCCAUGCCUGCCCAUUGGACUUCCAAUCAUGCUUUACCCUUGGACUUCCACUACUAGUUUCAAGUACAGUAUCAUUAUCAGGCAGCCAACUACUUACCAACAAAAGUUGCAGCAACAAGCUCAACAGUUGCACACUGAAAAUUGGCAAAUGAACCACAAUCUGAAUCUUAAAUCAAUUCCAGAGCUAAAAGAUUGUGAAACUGAAGUUUUUUUUCCUUCGAUUUAUUGAUGUCUUUCAUGUCCUGCGUCACACUAGCUAAACCGUGGCUACAAUUAUUUGAUCCACCCUAGAGCACCAUUACCUGCUUGGCAUAGUAUGCAGCAGCUCUUAUGUCACAUGGUCAGAACUAAGAGGGAAACAAAAUGCCCUAUAUACAAAUCGAAAUGGAUGAUUUUACAAACUAAUCUUAUUAUCCAUAGUAAAAAUGAUAUAUAUGAAAGAAUACCCAAAUCUAAGCAAAUUUGUCAGAUACCACUGAAAUGAAUCAAUUUGCAGGAUUCAACUAGGGUGCAGGUGCAACACCAACUUCUACACUCACGAGUUGCUGCCAUCCUGUGCAUGAACUCAUAGAGACUAUUUCAGCAAGUGGCAUAACACAGAUGCAUCCUGACUCACUAAACAUUGUUUUGAACUACUCAAUCUACCCAUAGAAGUCCAUUCCCAGCUUCACAUAUUACAUAACAGCUCUUUAGUCAUUAUGAGCCAGCCAGGAAAUCCCCAAAGGUUUUUGGGCUCUUGAAGGGUGGCCUCCAAGAGUUCAUGGCCACAACUGUAUAAGAAAAGGAAAUCCCCCUCCAUGUUCCUUGGAAGCCAGUAAAAGCCAGAACUAGGAACAUGAAAGAAACUAAAGCAUAAACUGCAAAUUUUUCCUUCCCCAGGAGCAUUGCAUGAAUAGCCCAAGUUAUGGCAGUUAGAGAUGAAGGGGGCAAAAAGGGCAAUUUUCUUUCUUCUUUUUUUGUAUGAAGGAAUAAGGGUAAGUACUGUAAAUACUUAAAUAAAGAAAGACCUCUAGCAUUGAAAUAAAUAAAAAAUAGCAAACAUCCAAUUUAAUAAAGAUUAAUUGCUCAACUUCAACAGCAAAAAAGGUUAAAACCACCUUUUUUUUUAAUUUUUGGAUGGUCAGGAUAACAGCUAAGCCCCUUAAAUCAGUAUUGGAACAGAAUUACCUGCUCAAAGUAUGGUACUGCCUCCGACGCUGGCCUGUUGUUGUAUGAUAUUAUUGCAUUUGCCUUCAUUGAGAGACAAGUAUAACCUUCAUUACGUCAAAAAGUACUAAACACUGAACUAUGGUGCAUUUUCACACAUUAAAGCUGCAAAAGCAUAACUUUUUAGCUAUAUUUUUCUUAUCUUAAUUAAGUUCAAUUUUGGUUAAGCACUUAUGAAACUUUGGAAGAAAGAAGGAACCUUGGGUAUAUUCUCACAAAAAUAACUUCCAGUAAGCACUUGUAGAAGUGCACCAUUGCUGCAAUUAUAGUUAAACCAAAUAACGUCAAAGAUAGUAACGUGAAAAGAAUGAAAUUAAAGUUAGAUAAAUUAGAUAGCAUUUUAGGCAUGGUUAUCUAUAACGAAGUCUCAUCGGAAUGAAACUUAGGAAUACUAGCGAGGUUUUUAACCUUGAAGUAUUCUUCAUCACCCUCACCAUUUCAAAGUAAACGUUCCCAGCAUUUUGUUAAUUCAAUCAGUCACAAGUUCCUCCAAUCUAUCCAAGCUUAACUCGAUCAUCUUACGUUCAAAAAACAAUUCAUUGGACAACUAUCCCAUGUUCAGCUCCAAAACAGCUUUACUGAACCUCUGCUAUGAUAAAAUGAAUGUUGCUAUGAAGGUUAGCAGCUCCAAUACACAUUGAUGUAAAGAUUCCUCAAGAAAAAAAGAGGACAUGCCUAACAUCCUCGGGACAAAGUAUAUCAUUGAACAUACAAACUAACAUUAGACAACACAAUUAAGGCUUUAUGAAGUUUAAUUUGUGAUCAUUAAUGCUCAAUUAACCUCCACUCACCUAUGGCCAACCGAGUAAAGUGGAAGAUCAACAAUAUCAUCAGGUGAAAGGCCAUAUUCUGGCAAUUCAGACCCCAAAAUCAAAUCAAAGCCAGCAUGAAACCUCUCAUAAAUCUCCCUAGUAACUUUUUCAUGAUCAAACGUCACGUUAUAUGGCACCGAGAUAAUGAAAUAGCCUUCAUUUGCCAGUUGCUCAAGCAAAUAGCUGCCACCACAACAAAAACAACUAAUCAAACAAAACAGAUCAUAAGACUCUAUUAGCAUUUCAGUUUACAGUAGAAAAAAUUGAAAUAACAACCCUCUGUUCUGUAGUAAACAUCACAGUUUGAAUUUCAAUCAAGUAGACCUUGUUUUUCCAGAGCAAUGUUUCCUUCUUCUUUUCAGCAAGUUAAAAAAAUUACUUCACCCACAGAAAAAAAUCUUCCAAAAAAAAUUAACACUACAAGCAAAUUUAUUUUAGUUUCUGUGUUUCAAGAAUUAACUCAAGGAUUAAUCUAAUAUAGUGUGUUAAAACUAUAGUUGGACAAGCAAGUAGCCAAAUAUAUUAAUCCAGAAAUUAAAUUAAAAUGUUCCAUCGCAGAAAUCUAACAGCACUUCAUCAAAAUAGCAACAAAAAAAAAGAAAGACAUGAAAAUUAUCAACUAUAAUAGUCAAGUUUGAGACAGAGAUAUUAACGACAGGUGAAUAUACAUAAGUAAAUUGCUGAUUGACCUGUAAGCAACUUCAGGGACAGCUCCAACAAAAGCACCUCCCAAAAAUUUAAUAAUGGCUUUGGGUUUUCUCCCUCUUGGAGGAGGAAUGGCCAAACAAGACUCAAGCCUGUGGUAAAUUCUACCAUUAUGAUUCACAAAAGAAGUGUUGUUGAAGCUAUUGGGUUUAACCAUUUCCAUUUGGCUCCGGCAAAUUGUCAUUUUUGAGGGUCUUUUGCAAUUCUCAGUGGGGAAAACCCCUCUGGAGAGAUAAUUGAGAAAAGGGCUUUCUUUAAAUUUGUUGAUUCUUGGAAAGUUGUUGAGGAUAGAAGUGGUGCUAGCCACGGCGGCCAUGGCCGGCCUUCUUCACUCGGAGGUUCUAGUUGGCUGUUGGGAGGGAGGGGAAAUUUGGAGCUAAAAAUGUGAAGCGCGGGAGGCAGUACGUGGCAUUCUAAUUGCGCCUCCUUUGUGUCAGCUACAUUUCCUAUUUAGAUUACGAGUCUCCGUUUUAGUGGAUUUUGUGCAUUUGUUUGGGGAUAAUUGAGUAAUUGUCUAAUUUCUCCACUCUUUUUUUGGCCUUACAUGCAACUUGUGUCUUUGAGUCUUUUUUUUUUUUGGUCAAAAAUCAUUUGUAUUGUAUUAGUGUAGCAAUCAUUUAUGCAUGCAUGUACAAUUAAGAGACUACUGAUUGUAAAAUUUAGAUGUGUCUCUAUUUUAAGGUGCACAUUUAAGAUUGGGUAAAUUAUCUUUUUAUUCUCUUGUGAUAUGAUACUUUACCACAUAAUCCCUCUAUGGUUUAAUAAUCUAUAUACAACCUCUUCAUCGUUUGGAUUAAAAUAUCACCGUUAAUUUUUUUGUUAAAACCAACGGUCAAUAGUAAAAAGUCAAAAUCAAACUAAUAAAUUGACAAAUUUAUGCUUUUAUUACUUCUUUUUUCCCUCCAAACUAAAAAAGAAGAAAUUGAAAUAAAAACUACAUAAAUAAGAACUAAAAAAUACCAUUAAAAUUUUGAUUUAAAAACCUAUAAUGAUAUUUGUAGUAAAAAAAAUGGUAUUUUUGUUUCUUAUUUAUUUGUUUUAUAUUUCGCUUCCAUCUUUUUUGUUUCUUAUUUAUUUAUUUAUUUAUUUCCCUUCCAUUUGUUUUGUAAUUGGAGAAAGUUAAUAUUUUGUAUUUUAAAUUAUAGGUUUUCAAAAUAAUCUCUUCUCUUCCCAUGCUGCACGCAGCGGGGUUUAGACCCGUGCUCGAUAGCUAUUCCUUUAUUCGAUUCAAGAACCCAGGAUCAAAUGAAAGGUAUUGAAGAGUGAAGAGCACUAAUAAUUUCCAUGAUUUUGGAUUCUAGUUUGAGUUGUAAGCAAGGCAUCCUCUUUUAAAACCAAGUCAUCGUCUAGCUUCUUCUUUUAAAUAUUCCAUUCUUUUGCUUUAGUUUGUUCUUUCCUUAAUGACGAUUAAUUUUCCUGCAAUUUCUCUCUUAUGAGUACAAUAUUUCCUCCUAUUCCAUCCUUAUUUUUCUCACAAGACCUUGACAAUUCUUCUGAAUAGAUGUUUUAGUAAUGAUUUUUACCAGGCGUAUGCCAUCGACAAUCAAAGCCUAUGACUAUUUUCACAAACCUUACCACUUUUAUACUAAACUCACUACAUAAUUAAUCAAUCUUACGAACUUUCAAGCAAAGCUAACACUUUAUUUUAUACAAAAUUUACUAUUUUUGUCAAGCACAACUUAUGAUUUCAUUAAAAAGCUUACUAUUUUUUGGUAAGUUUCUAACUAAACCUUACCACAUUUUGUUCAAACUUCACUUCAUAAUUAACAAAAUUUAAUGAUUUCAUAAUUUUUGUAAUUUAAAUUUUAAAUAACAAUCUAAAUUUUUAAUUAAAACUUACUACUUUUUCUCCAAAACCUACUAUUUUACUAAAUGAUAUAAAUGGCCAUUGGUAUAACUUACCAUAUUUUAGUAAAACUUACUAUGUUGUCAACAAAACUCACUACUAUAUUUUAACAAAACUAAGUUCAAGCAACUUUACACAAAAGUCAAUAAUAUUUUAAGCAAAAACUUGUAACUUCAUUAAAAAAUCUUACCACAUUUUCUUUAGUAAAAAUUGUUGUUUCAUUGAUAUGACGUACUGCUGGAGCAUGUCAUAUGUGGUCAUUAGCUUGCUACUUUUCUGUAACCACCUGUUAUGACCAAUCGUCAAGUGAAUCUAUUAGUUUUGUAAGUUUACCAUCAAAAUUAGUUAGUUUUACUCUUGAAUCGAUAAAGUUCAGUAAUUAUAAAAGUUACCACAAUUUAAAAAAGAAAACAUACCACAUAAAAUGUACCAGUUCUUAAGUAAUUUAAUUCUUUUAGUCAAACUUACAGCUUCUUCAACGACUUUUAGUACUUUUUGACAAAUAAAGUUUUGAGUAAAAUUUACUAUUAUGCUAAUUAGUGACAUUCAAAUUUCCUUAAGCAGUUUUAGUACUUUUUUAAACAUAAUCUUACCUGGCAGAACAUAUAUACUACUAGCAAAAAUUAUUUCUUUAUUCCAAAAAAGAUUUUUCCAUCCGUGGGUUAUAUACUCACAUUCAUUUUCUCUUUGCAUUUGAAUACUUUUUUUUAAAAAUAAAUCUGCAUUUUCACAAACUACUAACUAUUCAUCUCUACUUAACCAAUGCUUUAAGUGUUCUCAUUAAACUAGCCCUUAGGUAUAUUAUUUUUCUCUAAAUAUUAUUAUUUUUUUGCAAAGUCUUUUUCUAUUAGAAAAUAUACCAUUUUCUUAGCAAAUUUACAUCUACACAGUAAAUUUAUAACUAAUGAAAAUUUAACAAUUUUCUUUGAACGAAGAAAGUUUUGCUUGGAAUGCAGUGAUUUUUCAAUGAAAUAGAUAAGUUUUGCUUAAAAAGGGUUAACAUAAAAAAAAAUUCCCCUGAAAUUUUCUUUAACGUCACUUAGCAUCUAUUCUUUAUCUUUAAGUUUUUCAGCUCCAUUUGUUUGAUAUGGGAAUUAAGUCUCAAGUGAGGCUUAAUAUAUUCAUUUUGAUAUUAUGGAAAACUGCAAGGGAAGUUACUAAUAUUAUUCCUAAAAAAAUGUUAUAUGUUUUGCUGUAAUUUAACAAAACUUUUAAAUCAAGUAUCAUUUUGUGUUGUAAAAUUAAAGUUGCAUAUUUCAUAAGAAACUUAAUAAACUUUUUGUGUUCUCUUAAGUUUUGCCACAAAAUUAGUAAAAUAUUUCAAUAAACAUACUAAUUUUGCUAAAUAUGUGGUUAGAUUUCUUAAUGAAAUCAUAAGUUCACUUGAAAUAGAAGUGAGUUUUGUGUAAAAAAAAAUGGUAAGUUACGCUUGAAAAUUAGUAAGGUUCGUUAAUAAUGCAGUAAGUUUAGUACUAAAAAAUUGUAAAAUUAGUUAGAAACAUACUAAAAAUUUUGCUAAAAAUGGAGUAAAGUUUGUUAAUUAAGUCAUAAGUUUUGCUUGAAGAAAUUAGUAAGUUAUGUAUAAAAAUAGUAAGUUUUGCUUGAAAGUUAGUAAGGUUUGAUGAUGAUGUCGUAAGUUUUACCAAAAAAGUAGAAAGAUUAGUCAAAUGAAGUCAUAAGUUUUGCUUUAAAAUAGUAAGUUUUGUAACAAGGAUAUUUUUAUCACUACUUGAAUUCUUGCCUUGGUUUGCAAAGAUGCCUUAUAUUUGGUAAUUGUGGAACUUGGAAUGGAUUCAAUAAAAGUUUCAAAAAUAAUAAUUUCAAGGUCUGCAGGGAACAUGGUUGAAUUGAUUCCUGUUUCUUGUAAAGCAUAAAAAAAAUGAAAGAACAUAUUAAGUAUGUAUCACUCUUGUGCUUUAUUGCUUCUUUAGGACAAAACGAAAGCCCUCACUAGCUUUUAUUUCAUUAAAGGGCUAAAACAGUUUUCGCUUAUAGUACAUCAUUUUCUUGCCACCUCUAUUUGUGCAAAAGAUGGAAAAUAUCUGUUUAAAAUUCAAAAAGACUCUUAUAUUACGUAUUAUUAACAAAUAUUUUGAAAUUUAUCACAAAUUUUCAUAAUUUGUAUUCAGAUAAACAUGUAACUUGUGAGUUAUGCAAAAAAAUAACAAAGACUUAUAUCAUAUUUUUUCAAAUAAUGAACCUAAUAUCAACAAUUUGAUAAAAUGAAUAUCUUGUAGCAAAAGAUACAACUUAGGUUUUGUAUCAUACAAGCAUAACCUAAUGUUAUAAAAAAAUUUUUUUUUUUGAAAUUCUAGUAAGGGAGAAGUGAAAAGGGGGGAAGGAGGAUUGAAAUUCAGGACUUCUAAUUCCUAGAGCCUCAACCUUAACUACUAGAUUAAGAUCUCUUGAGCUAGAAAUACAAAUUAAGCCCAAUAUUAAUGCAACCCAACAUAUAAAAGUCAUGGUAGACACGCGUAUUUUUAAUUUUAUAACUUUCAAGCAUGUUUGUAUUAUUCAUGGAUAACUUUUGAUGCGUAACAGCGUCUCAAUUGCCCCUGCGCUCCAAGGGUCUGUUAUCUUUGGACAUGCAGAAUUUCUGUAGCUUUCGUUUUUCUCUUAGGAUGUAGGGAUCUGGUUGGUCCCUUGGCGCUGUGUUCUGGUCUUUUUUAAAUGAAUAAAACAGUUAUUGAUUAAAAAAAAAAAAAAAACUUGUAUGUUUCAACUGAAUUUUGUACGGUACAUUUUGAAGAGUAAUUUCUGUACGUAAAACGCUUCGUAUUAUUCUCAUACCUUAUCUUAGUAAUGUUUUUUUUUUCUUUAGAAAAUCUUUUGGAAGUUUUCUUUCUGCAAUUAAUCAUGAAAAAUUGAUAGAGUCAUAAUUCAUGACAUUUUCUUAGAUCAGAAACUUGAAAUGAGAAACCAAAAAAGAAAAAUUAACAGUCCUUGAAAAGAAAAUGAGAAGUGAAAUAGGGACACUAAUUAUCCUAAAGUUUAGGAUAAUGAUACAAUGAUAAUGUUAGAAUACUUCAGAAUUCCACUAUACUAUCUUUUUCGUAUCGAUUGAUCCACUAAACUUUUAAAACUAAUUAAUUGAACCAUUCUGCCUAGUUACUGAUUCAAAUAUAUGGAACUUUCGGAAUUAGUGGGGAACUUUGCUCACUUUGUUAAUGAAAAAUAGUAUGGCGGAUUAAAUGGGAGUUUAGUAAAAUUAAGUGAAUCUUAAUACAAUUUGUUGAAAAACUUCUUGGAAACUAAAGAAGAAUAGAAAAAAGAAAUGUCGUAGAAAACGUUUAACACAACUACUGCUGACAUUCUCAAAUCUUUUGAGCUAGUAUCAGAGAUACUUUAGUCAGAUGGGUGAAGAAGCAACACAAUAUCACUAUAAGUAAAAGAGUACAAAAGAGAGAGAGCACAAAACCCUAUAAAAUAAUUCCAAGGUCCAAAUGUAUCUAAAACUCAAAACACUUGAGAUUUUUUUUUUUUUGGAAGCAUAACACUCGAGAUUUUAAAGAAGCAUACAAAUGUCUUAUAAAAUCAAAAUUCCUAAAGUUUAGGAUAAUGUUAGAAUACUUCAGAAUUUUGCUAUACCAUCUUUUUCGUAUGGACUGACCCACUAAAAUUUUAAAGCUAUUUAAUUGAACCAUUCCGUCUAGUUAGUGAUUAAAAAGCUGGGAACUUAUAAAACACAGCAGCACAUUGCAAUUAGUGGGGAACUUUUGUAACUUCGUUAAUGAAAAAUAGUAUGGCAGACUAAAUAGGACUUUAGGAAAAUUAAGUGAAUUUGAUGCUAUUUGUUGGCAAACUUCUUGGAAACUGAAGAAGAAUGGAAAAGAGAAAUGUCUUAAAAAAAGUUAAACACAACUAAUGCUCACAUUCUU